rnacentral:lncRNA from 1 species
AAUUCCACAAAAUGAUCUAGGGUACACAUGCAACUAUGUCCUUGAGUAUGACAACAACCUUUAUCUUCUAGACAAAUGCAUGGUAUGCUACUAAUUUAUUUGCUACAAAUUCCAAUGAAUUGUGUCCUUUACUUUGUACAUACCCAGUUAUGAUAUUUGAUUUUGCUAAUACAAUGUAGCCUUCAAUUUAAACCAAGUUUUGCAUCCAUUAAUUAUGUUAGGUUCAUAUGACUUCACUACAUAAAAUAGGUAGAUAAUGCAUAAGACUAAGAUUGUAGCUAGGGAUGAAAAUCUAAAUACGACAUGAAUCUAACAAUUACGAGUAAUGUCUUUGUGACAAGAACUUUCUUUGUCUUUUAUUCCCAUGUUUGAACUAGUAUAGGUCGGGGUUACACAUUAUGGUGCACAUCACUUUAUUUAUCAUCGUUACAUUGAACGCUCAUUGACUAAACAACGAUGAUCCAUCCAUCUUGUAUUGUAGGUCUUCAUUUCAUUGGCCACCGAUGCUUGUAAGACUAGUCUCAUAUGGUUGUUGUUGUGGAUAUGGUUGUUGAGGUUGGUGUGGUUGCUGGGGUUGCUGGGAAAUUGUUUGUUCUGGUUGCUGGGAUAAUUGUUGUUGGGGCUGUAGAAAUGGUUGUUGUGGUUGUUGGGGUAAUGGUUGUUGUGGUUGCAGGAUGGAUGGUUGUUGGGGUUGCUGGGGUUGGGGCUGGGGAAAUGAUUGUUGUGAUUGUUGGGGUUGCUGGGGAAAUGGUUGUUGCGGUCCUAGGAGGAAUGAUUAUUGUGGUUGUUGGGGGAAUGGUUGUUGNNNNNNNNNNNNNNNNNNNNNNNNNNNNNNNNNNNNNNNNNNNNNNNNNNNNNNNNNNNNNNNNNNNNNNNNNNNNNNNNNNNNNNNNNNNNNNNNNNNNNNNNNNNNNNNNNNNNNNNNNNNNNNNNNNNNNNNNNNNNNNNNNNNNNNNNNNNNNNNNNNNNNNNNNNNNNNNNNNNNNNNNNNNNNNNNNNNNNNNNNNNNNNNNNNNNNNNNNNNNNNNNNNNNNNNNNNNNNNNNNNNNNNNNNNNNNNNNNNNNNNNNNNNNNNNNNNNNNNNNNNNNNNNNNNNNNNNNNNNNNNNNNNNNNNNNNNNNNNNNNNNNNNNNNNNNNNNNNNNNNNNNNNNNNNNNNNNNNNNNNNNNNNNNNNNNNNNNNNNNNNNNNNNNNNNNNNNNNNNNNNNNNNNNNNNNNNNNNNNNNNNNNNNNNNNNNNNNNNNNNNNNNNNNNNNNUGCAGGGGGAAUGGUUGUUGGGGAAUUAUUUGUUCUGGUUGCUGGGGGAAUGGUAGUUGGGGCCGGGGAAAUGGUUGUUGGGGUUGCUGGGGGAAUGGCUGUUGUGGUUGCAGAGGGAAUGAUUGUUGGGUCUGGGGAAAUGGUUGUUGUGAUUGCUGGGAAAAUUGUUGUUGGGGUGUGGGAAAUGGUUGUUGCGAUGGAUAUGGUUGCUGUGAUGGAUAUGGUUGUUGUGGAUAUGGCUGUUGUAGAAAUGGUUGUUGUUGAUAGGAAAAUGAUUGUUGAGGUGAUUGUAAUUCUUUGUUGCUAGGGUUUAGCUGCCUAGCGGCAGUGGCGAUGUUCAUCGCCAUGGCAAGGAGGACAAAGAUGAGGAAGGUCUUCAUGUUGGAUUUGUGGUUACUACUGCUUGCUUGCUUUUGAUGCUUGUGGUCUAGGUGUGUGAAGUUUGGAUGAUGAAAUGUGGUCUUGGUGGUGCAUGUGUAUUUAUAGUUUUCAUGGCAUGGCUUGCUUUCUUCUUCCCACUCGCUUUUUGAAAAAGUGCACCAAUGCUUAUCCAACUAAUCAUUUGAUUUGUUGUGUUUGGUGCAACUACUUACUAGCAAGAUUUUGGAUUUUCAUGAUAGUUGCUUUUUGUUGAAAUCAUCUGGUUGUAAGGAAUGUUGGAUAAUGACCAAUGACUCAUCUUCUUCACUUUACACUGCAAACAUUGAUCUAAAUUAUAUCCUUUUUUGAAAUUUAGUUUGUGAAGCUCUACAUGUUGUUAGGCUUAUCUAUAUUGGCAUAGCUUGAGUGGAAUUAAGUUUGUAAGCUUGUGAGCGUCAUUAUGAUGGAUCACACUAUUAAUGUGAUGAUUGUACUACAAAUUAUCUUUCCAAAACUAAUUUUAUGUUUUUUCCCAAUAUGAUUCUAAGACGGAUAACCAGACAUGACUCAUCAAAUAACAAGAUAAACCGAGUAGCAAAUUGGGGUUAUAAGUUAUAACAUGGACUUUUCUCUAAGAUACACUAUCUUGUCUUGCAUGCUCUGUGAAUUUGAAAAGCAUCUACUAAUUUAUAUGCAAUUGAAACAAAAGUAGACCAGAAAGAUAAGCAAUGAAAUGAGAAUACUAUUAUGUGAAGCUCUACAUGUUUGGCAAGCAAUAAGAUACUGGAUACAUCUAUAUCUUCAAUCCUGACAAUUUUUCUCAUCCCUAUCAACUCUUUAUUGGCUGCCUUUACUGUAGUCAUCCCUUAAAUAAAAAUCACUUAAAGAUAAGUUUGGGAGCUAGUACCAGCAUCUAUCAUGUACAAGAUAAAAAACUAAGGCACAUAUAGUAGUCUAUUGACUAUAUUUAAUUUCAUGUGAUGUGAAAGCAUGUGGAGUAUAAGUUGGUUAAAUAUAAAAUUGUCCUUCAUACCAGUAGGGAAAGAAUAUGCAGUAUAAAGAUUAGAGCAUUAUUAAUAUGCUAUUAAAUGCUACAGGAUAAUCGAUAGUUCAAGUUAAGAACAACAAUAGCAUUCCAACUUUUGUUUUGUGCAAGUUAAGAACAUGCUAACAAAGUAACCUAAGCAAAUAAGUGCAACACCUUCACCUAUAAGGAAAUUUUGAAACUACACAAAAUGACCUAUUGUAAAGAAGGAAAAAAAUCUAAAGGUGAAUGAAAAGCAUGUUAAGUACAUUCAGGAUUCGGUUAUGCCUUCAUGGAUAACCUUUUAGAUGGUGACUUGUCAACCUUGAUGUGUGUCGGCAUGGAACGAGGACAAGAAGACAUCGUUACGUCGUACUUUGGGAAUUUCAUCAAACUGGUUGUGUGCGGGAACAAAUAUUUGUCGCCUCCCUGCUCAAAUCUCUCUUCAUGUCACUAAAUCCGACACUCCACCUACCAAAAUCAGCUGCAAGCCAGGGACAAUCAACAGGUUUCUCCGCCCGUAGCAUCUAUCACCAAAAGAAGUUCAGACUAUAGUCUUGUAGUUUAAAAUUUUGUAAUAACAAGCACUACUAGGUUGCUCUUGUUUGUACGUCUUCAUUAUGUACAACCCAUGGAACUUAAAAUGCAUGGGUCAUUCUUCGGUAUAUACAACCAAUGCAACCAAACAUGCAUUGGGCUUUUCUUUGUACAUCUUCAGGUUCUACAACCAAUGCAACAAAAAAUCCAUUGGGCAGUCUUCCAUUCUAGUCGGGCACCAAUAGUUAAACGAGGAGCUAAACAGUGUUGGAGUCUAAAACUACAUACAAUCAUGAAGCAGAGAGAUGCGACUUGGAAGUUGUGCUCCUGUGAGCUCGUAUUUUUGAAGAAAAAAGUAAUAUUUGUAUUUUGAAGUGGGAAAAAGUCCUAAAAAGGGAUGUUUUGCGGGUUAUAACUUACUAUUUUUGAGUCCUGGGCUGCAGGAAGGUCGUAAAAAAUCAAUGUGUUUUCCCAUUCAUGCAUGUUUCUUGGGUUAUAGGUCACGCUUUUGGUGUCCUAGGGAGAUCACUUCCCCAGUUGGGAACAUUAGGUGAUGAUUUUUAGCAAAACUCAUUGUUUUAGCCUAACUAGUUUCGAGGAUUGGUGGACAAGAUUAUCAUGGAACAAAGUGACAACCUUCCUUUUCUUCAUGCCUAAUAUAAACUUAGCAGUCAACUAAAAGUAACUAGCGAUAUCACAGAAUGUUUUUUUGUCAAAAGUAGAUACCACUUCAGGAUUCAACUCGGUUAGUUCAAUCAUAGACAUGUUAAGAGCAGGAUUUACAACUAACUGCAUAGGGAACAUCUCCUUUUAUCGCCCACUAUCUGUCUAUGCACUUUGGUUUUCCCGUAGCAGCACACAAAGCACUUUGUUAGUACCAAUAAUGUGCUCCAACUCUACACAUUAAUCAUCUUGAAUUCUUCUACUGAUGUCGAACAAUGUUAUAUCUUGAAUUCUUCUAACGAGUUCAGAUUAUACUACAUGGGCAAUUUAUCUGGUCCCUGAGAUGCAAGGUCGAUGAACAAUCGCUUCGUCUGAUGAUGAGGGAUUGUUUUUGCCUAAGAAACCAAUACAUGUAACUUCGACGCCAGAUUAAUAAUUGGUAAAACCCAAAUAAAUUAGAUCACGAGCUAAACCAUUUAAUUUUGUAUGCAUUUAAACUUUUGAUACAUAUGAGCUUGUUAAGAUGUUCGCAUAAACACCAUGGUGAUUUGAAGCAAGACAAAGUAAACUUGAACCGCUUGAGCCACUGACUUAAUAAGAACCUCCUUUCCCGUGGCAGAGAUCGUUUUUAAUACAUCCACUCACUUUGGUUCUCUUAUGAAAUCUAGAUUCCUUCGCUAAGGCUAUUGCUCCAGUAUUGUCACAAAAGAUUUUUGUUGGACCCGAUGCACUAGGUAUGACACCUAGAUCGGAUAUGAACUCCUUCAUCCCGACUCCUUCAUUUGCUACUUCCGAAGCAGCUAUGUACUCCUCUUCACAUGUAGAUCCCUCCACGACGCUUUGCUUGAAACUGCACCAACUGACAGCUCCACCAUUCAAUAUAAAUACGUAUCCGGUUUGUGACUUAGAGUCAUCCAGAUCAGUGUCAAAGCUUGCAUCAACGUAACCAUUUACAACGAGCUCUUUGUCACCUCCAUAAAUGAGAAACAUAUCCUUAGUCCUUUUCAGGUAUUUCAAGAUGUUCUUGACCGCUAUCCUAUGAUCCACUCCUGGAUUACUUUGGUACCUCCCUGCUAAACUGAUAGCAAGGCACACAUCUGGUCUGGUACAUAGCAUUGCAUACAUGAUAGAACCUAUUGCUGAAGCAUAGGGAAUGACUUUCAUUUUCUCUCUAUCUUCUGCAUUGGUCGGGCAUUGAGUCUAACUCAACUUCACACCUUGUAACACAGGCAAGAACCCUUUCUUUCCUUGAUCCAUUUUGAACUUCUUCAAAACUUUAUCAAGGUAUGUGCUUUGUGAAUGUCUAAUUAACCGUCUUGACCUAUCUUUAUAGAUCUUGAUGCCCAAUAUAUAAGCAGCUUCACCGAGGUCUUUCAUUGAAAAAUUCUUAUUCAAGUAUCCUUUUAUGCUAUCCAGAAAUUUCGUAUCAUUUUCGAUCAACAAUAUGUCAUCCACAUAUAAUAUCAGAAAUGCUACAAAGCUCCCACUCACUUUAUAAAGGCUUCUCCAAAAGUCUGUAUAAAACCAUAUGAUUUGAUCACACUAUCAAAAUGUAUAUUCCAACUCUGAGAGGCUUGCACCAAUCCAUAAAUGGAUCACUGGGCUUGCACACUUUGUUAACACCUUUUGGAUCGACAAAACCUUUUGGUUGCAUCAUAUACAACUCUUCUUUAAGAUAUCCAUUAAGAAAUGCAGUUUUGACAUCCAUUUGCCAAAUUUCAUAAUCAUAAAAUGCGGCAAUUGCUAACAUGAUUUGGACAGACUUAAGCAUCGCUACGGGUGAGAAGGUCUCAUCAUAAUCAACUCCUUGAACUUGUCGAAAACCUUUCGCAAAAAGUCGAGAUUUGUAGACAGUAACAUUACCAUCAUCGUCAGUCUUCUUCUUGAAGAUCCAUUUAUUCUCUAUGGCUUGCCGAUCAUCGGGAAAGUCAACCAAAGUCCACACUUUGUUCUCAUACAUGGAUCCCAUCUCAGAUUUCAUGGCCUCAAGCCAUUUCGAGGAAUCUGGGCUCAUCAUUGCUUCCUCAUAGUUUGUAGGUUCAUCAUGGUUGAGUAACAUGACCUCCAGAACAGGAUUACCAUACCACUCUUGUUGGGAAUAUGACUACCAGGUAUGACCCGCCCAGGAGGGGCCGGGUCAAUCCUAAUGGCGGGUUACUAAAAGAAGCUCAGUGAAUAUACAAGGCGAUAGUUUAUUAUAAGACUUGUAGUAGGACCAAGCCCAAAGGCGGGUUAAGGCCCAUAAUUGUAAACCGCCAUGUAUAAGAAAGAAUUGUAAAGAAAGGCAUGUAAGAGAAGUCACCGAGCCGGGCACGUUAUAUGAGCCGGCUGGGACUCUGUAGGCCGCCAGGCGUCAACCCGUGUAUAUAAGGGGACGACCCGGUGGCGGCUUAGGGCAAGUAACAUCAAAUCGAGAGCCAUGCAUAGCGUAUUUGCUCCCUGGUCAUCGAAACCUAGCAAUACCACAUCAACUGGACUAGGCUUUACCUUCACCGUAGGGGGCCGAACCAGUAUAAACCUUUCGUGUCCUUUGUCCCGAUUAACCCCUUUAAGCUUCCUAGUUGCGAUGGCUCCACGACUAAGUCCUUUCAGUAGGACAUCUGCCGUGACAAUUCCACGACAGUUGGCGCCCACCGUGGGGCCAUCGCACGAUGGAUUUGAGUUCUUGAAGGGCAGCUUCCAAGGGCUCAAGGGAUACGCUGUGGGCCGGAUAACCAAAAGUUGUCACAGCAAGCUCUACAUCGACGACGCAGGCUGGGGCCCCGAGGCUGGCUCAAUCGAGUACGGGUACCGGGUCCCCUUCGGCGGAAUCCACGUCUUCAUCGGCCGGAUCGGCGAGCCGGGCCCUGAGUCGGACAUCUGCACCGACCUCAUCGAGAUGGCUCAGCGAGUGAGACCUGCCCGGGCUCAACCUGCCGUGAGGCGUGCCUUCGUGGGUUGCAUCCAUGGAGGGGAAUUUUCUGAAGGAUCGAUGGACGGUGGUGAGACAGUCGUUUGCUCUAGCAGUGAGUCGUCCAUAGGCGAGACAGAUUCUUUGUAUCAGCUACAAGAUGGCGGGCUUGGGGGCUGUUCCGAUGGCAGUAGUAUUCCGGACCCCUCUGAGCCGCCGAAUCGAGCCGGAGUCUUCAUGGCUGGCACUCAACCUGGUUAGAAUUCUAUGGCUGCGGCAGCAAUAACCACUGGGUCAGCAGGGGCCGGGUCAGGAGACCCCGCGCGCCCACCGGCUCAGGUACUAAUGGACCUCAUGGAUAGGAUGACGGCCCUGUUGACUGCUGUGGUUGAGCCGGCAGAUAAGGCUCAGCAUGACGCAGAGGUAGCACAGCUACACAGAGAGGUAGCACAGGCCAAGGAAAAUUUAGUGGCGGAAGAUGUCAGGAUGGCCGCGGAACGGGCGGCUCUGGAUGCACGGGCUCGGCAGCUUCAAGCGAAGACUUUCUGGCUCUCGGUGGAUCUGAACGCAUCAAACGAGGUCACGAGGAGAAGGCACCAGAAGGCUCAAUCAUGUCUGCCUCUGACUUACGAUCCUAGGAACCUUUUUCACACACCCGGGACUGGUCCCAGUAACCCGCUGAAGGCAAACCGGAUCACAACACCCGGGACCGGGACGCCGGUUCAACCGCGGGCCAUGGAACCACCGCGUGUGAAUACUGCUCUGCCUCACUACACAGCGAUACCACCGGGUCACUUCUCUAACCCCUUGGAGAACCUUAUUGCUGCGUCGGCUCAUCUGGCGGCUCUCCCGAUGGAAGGUGACUCUUCGACGGCGAUCGAGACACGACGGGUCAGAGAACUUCUUCAGACGGCUCUGGCACAGCAGGAUGCAUAUUCUUAUAGUUGAGAUAGAAUCCAUUCAACCCCUCGCCCAAGCCGGAGCCCAAGCUAUAGCAGGCAUAUGGACUCGGCGGCCAUGUCAAGCAACACCCAGCGCCGUAACCAUCCACGUGGGCGUGACCCGGCCCCGGGCGGAGCUUGUAACUUGGUAGACCAGGAGAGGAUCCGUCAAGAGGCUGAACGGGUGGUUCAACAGGCGGCUGAGCAAGCGGCUCACCAAGCUUUUCCAAUUUAUACAGUGACCUCUGUUGAAGCAGGGGUGGCCACAAGGACAGGAGGAGUCCCUUGUCUUGUGCAGUCUCUGCGUAAUGAGCGUUUACCAAAGGACUUUAAGGGGCCUCGUAAGGUGCCCAAUUACACAGCCGACCUGCAGCCCGGAGCAUGGAUUGAAAGUUACGAGAUGGCCAUGGAGUUAUUAUAAGUCAGUGACGCAGCAAUGGCCAAAUACUUCACCAUGAUGUUGGAUGGAACAGCUCGUACUUGGUUAAAGGGGUUACCGCCCAACUCCAUCGGCUCAUGGGCGGAGUUGAAGGCACGGUUCAUUCAGAACUUUAAAGAUACCUGUAAACAGCCCAUGUCAAUCGUGGACUUGACUAACUGCAAGCAAGAGGAAGGCAAAUCCAUGACCCAUUGGGUGCGCCGGGUCAAGGAAAUAAUACAUUCAUCUGAUAAGAUGGAUGCCAGCUCCACGGUCUUAAUGUUGGAGAAAAAUUACCGUUUUGAACCUCUGAAACAGAAGCUGGGGCGGCUCAAGCAUGAUUGUAAUGACAUGGGCCAGUUGAUGGCGGCUCUGGUCAAAUAUGCUGACUCUGACAGUACCAAGGAUCCCAUGUCUGACGAAGAGAAGACGAGGAAGGGAAAGAAGAACGGCAACGGCAAGGGUCACCAGCAUAACCCGACAAAUCAAGGAGGUAAUAAACGCAAGGCUGACGAGUUUGUGGCUAACACCAAUGCACAUGGCAACAACCAAUGGCGCAAGGGGAGGCCACCUCCUCGGUCAGGCGGAUCAGGUCCCACCCUCGAGCAACUACUAAAUGAACCCUGUCCGGGACAUGGCACCCGGGAGAAGCCGGCUACCCAUCUGUGGAAGGAUUGUACGAUCAUGAAGGCUUUUAAGAAUUCUAACAUGUUUGAUGGUAACCACGGGCCUGCUGGCGGCUCAGGCGGUGGCGGUUUUCAUGGCCAAGGCCAUCCGGGUAGUCAAGGCGAUUAUAGUCAGCAAUCCGGCCAGGGCAGUCAGCAACAGCAGCAACAGCCCGUGUAUCAGAGUAACCCAAAACAGCUGAACAGUGGACAGUACCAUGUGUUUACCACCAGUUUGUGCAAGAGGGACCAGAAGCUUCAGAAGAGGGAUGUAAAUGCUAUUGAGCCGGCGGUUCCACGUUAUUUGAGAUGGUCUGAACAACCUAUUCUGUGGAGUAGGGAAGAUCACCCACCCCGGGUUGAUAAUCCGGGUCAUCUGGCUUUGGUGGUGGCGCCUCAGGUUGGUGGAUAUAAGUUCACUAAAGUGCUCAUGGACGGAGGCAGUAGCAUCAACGUCCUCUAUUAUGAGACGUUCUGUCGCAUGGGGUUGACUGAUAAGAGUCUUAAAACAUCCAACACUGUUUUUAUGGGGUAGUGCCUGGUAAGUCGGCGUACCCAGUUGGUAAAAUUGAGCUGGAAGUGGCCUUUGGAGAUGAGUAUGAUUCUAGGGCUGAGAAGCUAACUUUUGAAGUGGUUAAAAUCAAGAGCCCAUAUCACGCUCUGUUUGGACGGCCGGCUUAUGCUAAGUUCAUGGCCCGGCCGUGUUAUGUGUAUUUGCAGCUCAAAAUGUUGGGUUAUAAAGGCACUAUCAUAGUACAUGGAAGCCGGAAAAUAGCCCUGGAAUGUGAAGAAGGUGAUGCUGCAUAUGCCGAGUCUGUUUGUGCAACAGAGGAAUUGAAGUUUUAUAAGGAUAAUGUUGACCCGGCAAACAUGGCGUCUUUGAAGAAGCCAACUACGGAGCAUGAGCCGGCAUUGAAAUUCAAGUCCGCUGAUGACACCAAGAUGAUUGAUUUCGUGUCUGGCGACUCAUCCAGACACUUCAUUAUCAGUGCUAACUUGGAUCCAAAAUAGGAAAGCGUGCUCAUCGAGUUCAUCCAUGAGAACCGGGACAUCAUUGCAUGGAAGCCUUCUGACAUGCCGGGUGUUCCGAGAGAACUCGUUGAGCACACUCUCAAUAUUCAUCCAAAGUUUAAGAUGGUCGGGCAAUUUCUUCGGCGGUUUAACGAGGAAAGGUGCAAGGCCAUUGGAGAAGAGGUGGCCCGGCUCUUGGCGGCCGGGUUCAUUGUUGAAGUUUUUCACCCAGAGUGGUUGGCUAACUCGGUGCUUGUGCUUAAAAAGAACGGCACCUGGCGCAUGUGUGUGGAUUACACAAAUUUAAACAAGGCUCGUCCAGCUGAUCCUUUUGCUCUCCCUCGUAUUGAUCAAAUCAUUGAUGCUACGGAGGGUUGUGAGCGUUUGAGUUUUCUGGAUGCUUAUUCGGGUUAUCAUCAGAUCAAGAUGGCAGUUAAGGACCAGGAGAAAACAGCUUUCAUCACUCCGUUUGGAGCCUUCUGCUAUGUGUCUAUGCCUUUUGGGCUCAAGAGUGCCCACGCGACUUAUCAGCGGUGUGUACAAAAUUGCCUUCAUAAUCAGAUUGGGUGUAAUGUUCAUGCUUAUGUGGAUGAUAUAGUGGUGAAAUCCAGAGAGAAGGAAACCUUAGUAGCUGAUCUAAAGGAAACCUUUGGUAACCUCCGGGUCUACAAGAUGAUGCUUAACCCGGCCAAGUGUGUUUUUGGAGUCCCAGCUGGCAAGCUCUUGGGUUUUUUGGUGUCUAAUGGAGGCAUUGAGGCUAACUCGGAGAAAAUAAAGGCAACCACGUCUUUGGCUAAACCGGCAUGCAUCAAUGACGUUCAGCGGCUGGCGGGCCGUGUCGCAGCUUUAAGCCGGUUUAUAAGUCGGUUGGGCGAGAAGGCUAUGCCAUUGUAUCAAAUGAUGAAAAAGGUGGAUGACUUUGUAUGGAGUGACGCUGCUGAUUCCGCUUUUGAAGGUUUGAAAAGACAGCUUGCUGGGCCACCUAUUCUUGCUGCCCCCGUUGAGAAGGAGCCGCUAUUGUUAUAUGUGGCUGCUAACUCACAAGCCGUCGGCAUGGCCAUUAUUGUGGAGCGCAAGGAGGUUGGCAAGGAACAUCCAGUUCAAUGGCCGGUUUACUACGUCAGUGAGGUGCUCAUUGGAUCCAAGAAAAGAUACCCACAUUAGCAAAAACUUGUUUAUGGGGUGUUCAUGGCAAGCCGGAAGCUUAAGCAUUACUUCCAGGGUCAUCCUAUCACUGUGGUUAGCUCUGCUCCUUUAGGAGAUAUUAUUUAGAACAGAGAAGCCACAGGACGAGUCGCCAAGUGGGCCAUUGAGCUUGGGGUCUCAUAAUAUAAAGUAUGUGCCACGUACGGCUAUUAAGUCUCAAGCACUGGUGGACUUCAUUAAUGAUUGGACGGAGUUACAGACACCUGAAGAGAAGCCAGACAACACAUAUUGGACGAUUCAUUUCGAUGGGUCCAGGCAGUUGGAAGGCUCGGGGGCUGGAGUUGUGUUAACUUCUCCUCGAGGUGACAAGUUUUGUUAUGUGUUGCGAUUGAUGUUUCCUUGUACUAACAAUGCAGCAGAAUAUGGGGCCUUGCUCCAUGGUCUUCGAAUGGCUAAAGAGAUGAGUUUAAGACGGGUACGGUGCCUUGGCGACUCAGAUUUGGUGGCUCGGCAGGUGUCAGGCAAGUGGGAUUCCAAGGACCCUCUCAUGGCGGCUUAUCGCCGGGAAGUUGAUGAUGUUGUUGGACAUUUCAAAGGUUAUCAGGUGGAGCACAUUGACCGCAGAAAAAACAAAGCGGCUGAUGCUUUAAGCCGGUUGGGAUCACAGCGUAAGCUGGUGCCACCUAACACUUUUCUAGAUGUUCUUCAAAACCCUUCUGUCAAACUGCCUACAGAGGAAGAUUUGGUCAUUCCAGACCCGGAGGCACAGUUAGUAGCGGCUCUUCAUGUUAUUCCAGAUUGGACAUUACCGUAUUUGGCUUACAUGACCCGGGGUGAGUUGCCAGAGGAUGAGACCUUGGCUCGACAGAUAACCCGACGGUCUAAGUCAAUGACAAUUUCCAAUGGUGAGUUGUAUCAUCGCAGCGUCACUGGAGUGUUUCAACGUUGUGUCUCUCCCGAAGAAGGUCAAGAAAUUCUUCGUGAGAUCCAUGAAGGGGAUUGUGGUCAUCACGCUGGUUCAAAGUCUCUUGUGGCUAAAGCUUUUCGUCAUUGUUUUUACUGGCUAACGGCUCACGCUGAUGCAGAGGAUCUGGUCAGUAGGUGUGAUGGGUGUCAAAAAUUUGCACGACGAGCGCACGUGCCGGCUUAAGAAUUGCGGAUGAUUCCAAUCACUUGGCCGUUUGCAGUCUGGGGGCUUGACAUGGUUGGACCUUUUAAAAGAUCCAAGGAUAAAAAGACACAUCUUUUGGUGGUAGUUCACAAAUUUACAAAAUGGGUUGAGGCAGAGCCGGUUAGUAAGUGUGAUGCAGCCACGAUGGUUCAGUUCAUGAAAAAGGUGAUCUUUCGUUUUGGCUUUCCACAUAGCAUUAUAACUGACAAUGGUACUAAUCUGUCCAAAGGCAACAUGGAGGAGUUUUGUCAAUGUGAGCAUAUCCGGCUUGAUGUUUUGUCUGUAGCUCACCCCCAAUCCAAUGGUCAAGCUGAGAGAGCAAAUCAGGAAAUCCUAAAAGGUCUCAAGCCCGACUUAUGGUUCGUUUACAACGGACGCCGGGUUGUUGGGUGGAGGAAUUACCCUCGGUGCUGUGGAGUAUCAAUACCACUCCUAACAGAUCUACAGGUUAUACACCUUUCUUCAUGGUUUAUGGAGCAGAAGCAGUUCUGCCUAGUGACAUCCGUCAUGACUCACCUCGCGUGGCGGCCUAUGUUGAAGCUGAUAAUGAACAAGCCCGACAGGAUGCACUUGACUUGUUAGAUGAGGAGAGAGAUUUGGCAGUGGCUCAAUCAGCAAUUUAUCAACAAGACUUGCGCCGUUAUCACAGCCGCCGGGUUAAGUCCAGAACCUUUCAAGAAGGUGACCUAGUGCUCCGGCUCAUCCAGGAUCUGUCUGAUGCACACAAGCUAUCCCCGCCUUGGGAAGGACCCUUUGUGGUCAACAAGAACUUAAACAAUGGGUCAUAUUACCUCAUUGAUGUUCGAGAGCACAAAGACCCACGUAAGUCGGAGGAGGAGACCCGCCGGCCGUGGAACAUCGCUCAGCUUCGGCCAUACUACACUUAAACCAUCGGCUCUCAUCAUGUACAUACUUUGACGUUGUAUAUAAUAUGAUAAGUAAUAAAGCAGGACCUCUGUCCUUUUUCCCCUUCAAUGAUCAUAUAUCUUUAUUAUUUUCAUUAUUUAAAAUGACCAUUAGGGGGCUGAUCGUAUCCGAAUCUAGCUUAACCCUUUUGGUCCGGCUCAUGAUCGUAUUCGAAUCUAGCCGUAAAACUCAUGGUCACUUGGGGGCUUCCUGUUCAAACAUAGGUCGUAUUCGAACCAAAGAGAACAUAGCUGUCGUAACCCUCUUGAUCGGCUCAAAGCCAAACUCACUAGGGGGCUUCUUGAUCGUAUCUGAAUCAUAGCUUAACCCCUUUUUGGGUCCAACUUGGAUCGUAUUCGAAUCAGGGUCGUUAAAAACCUCUCAAGGUCAUUUGGGGGCUUCCUAUUCAAACAUAGGUCGUAUUCGAACCAAAGAGAACAUAGCUGUCGGUACCCUCUUGAUCGGCGCAACGCCAAAGCCACUGGGGGCUAUAUGAUCGUAUCCGAAUCUUAGCUUAACCCCUUUGGUCCGGUUUACUGAUCGUAUUCGAAUUAGAAGCCUCCAGUUUUUAUUUAAAUGUUUGAUUUACAUUGUCUGAAGCCUAGUGUUUUAUCUUACUAUUUUUAUCGUCUCAAAUCUAACUGUUAGUAUGGUUUCAAAUUAAACCGGCUUGGCUAUUUGACAAUGUGUCGCCAAGGCAUAACAGUCAUCAGACAUAUGGAAGUAUUGACUUCUAAAAAAGAUUGGGUUAUCAACCUCAUCAUCCGGGUCAUGUAAACCGACAGUCCAUGUUCAAAAACCACAGGUAUGACAGUGUCAUUCAUGAACAGACUUCCCUGGGUUUUUCGUCAGUCAAAGGAUUUUUCAGCCUUGUUUAUCUUACAUCUGGUUCUAUUUUUUCCACUAUGAUAAUUUCAUAAUCAUGUACCGGGUGUUUUGACCCGUCCGGUGCUAAGCCACCGGGACAGUUUUUUUCAUCUUUUACAGGAACAGAGUUAAAACAUUACAGAUGUAACCACGAUGUAAUGCAUAUAUAUAUUGACAUCAUGGGCAAAGAGUCAUAUGAAACAUCUUAUGCACGAUGGCAUAGGCAAAAUAUGCAAUUUUCAAACUAACCUAUUACAAGGCAUUGAGAGCCCAAAAGGUUAAACGGUUUUCUCUCUUAAGCAGGUCUUAAGCUAAAAACUGGAUUGUUCAGAUGGUUAUGACUCCUCCCUGGCCGUUUCACCUCCCUCCACUGGUUGGAAGCUGGGAUUGGACCAGUCAAAGCCGUUCAGAGCAAUGAACUCAGCCUCAUCGUCAAUUAGGCCGGCCGGGUCAAUUUGCAGGGCAAAAGUGUGUUGACGAACCGGCGGGAUAAGAUCCAUCACUUUAUAAGAGGGAGUCGCCAUCUUUUUAUUCUCCAUAUCAAAACCCGACUGAUAUUUUUCGAUGUUGGUCUCCUCACCAAGAAUGGUAGCCUGAGGACGAACUCCCCUCACACAAGCAAUAAAGUCAUCUUGCUCAAACGGAGUCCCGUCUUCCUUCAUGGUAGGGUACCCCUUAGCCACGUCCACCGGGUGUAAAUCGGGCACCCAGGCUUUGGAGCGGCUCAGGGCAGUCAGGGCUCCGACUCUGGCACAAGAUCGUUUGACCUCUUGAAAUCUGGCGGGUAAGAUCGAUAACUUCUUCAAAACAUCACUUAAACGGUUGGGUCCUUGGUUGGCAGGGGAUAUAUAUAGUAGAAAGUGCUCGUUGAGCACCAGUGUACAGUUGCUCCACCAAGGUAUAAACCGCCUUCAGUUUUGUCACACUAUCUUGACUCAGAUAUUUUACUUCGUGGACCUGUGAGUACUUUUUAACAAAGGCUCAGCAGGCGGCUUAUAUUUCUGGUUAAAAUAAAGUAUAAGUGACUAAUGCAAAUGACUUACCAAAGAUGGCGGAGACCAUUUGAUACACACGGUUUUUUAAGCCGGUGAGCUCCAUGGUAACCUCCUCAAGAGUCGCCUCUGCUGUCUUGGCACGUUGUGUCAGCAAGGUCUUCUCAUCGGCCCAGGAUUUCUUCUUCUCAGUCACACUGGUCUUCAAUUUUUCAGUUUUAGAGAGACUCAAUUGGAGUUUGGAGUUAGCAGUCUUUAUCUCCGCUUCUUGAUCCGCCAGCCGGGUCUUUGCAUCCGUCAAUUGAGAUCCCAAUUCAGUUAGGGCGGUCUACAAACAUGCAUAGGUGUGUCAAAAUUUAAACACAAGUUAUAUUGAUUAAAGUCGCGAGUGCUUUGCAACGCAACACCACUUGGCACUUGGGGGCUAAUGUCUGCCAAAGCAAUUUUAUGCAAAAUGACUCUUCUAUGUUUCAAGUCCCAAGUGUUUUACAAAGUAACAACGCUUGGCACUUGGGGGCUAAUGCAUGAUAUUCAGAAAGUUUUUCAAGAUGAGCCGGAUCACACUACUUAUUUGGACUAAUCUAAGACAGUUAUGAAGUUAAGUACCGGGUCAUUUAUGAUAAAUUGAGCCGGCCCUUGGGGACUACAUGUGAAGUUUAUACUAAUCCGUUGAACUUAGGAAAAAUCUAAAGACAAGGUAUCAACCUAUAUCAUAAGUCUACAGAUCAUUCAGGUUCAUCAUAAUCUGAAGACUUGGGGGCUGGCAGAGUAUAUAUAAACCGGAGAACGUACCUCAUAUUCUGUAACAUCCCAAAUUUUCAAUUUGGAAUGUUACACGUUAGGUCAUCAUGCAUAUCAUAUUUUAUUUUUCUUUUGGUUUUGAUCCUAGAAAAUCCUAAGCAACUCAAGGACCCACGGAGAGAGUUGGGGAUUUCAUUAUUUACAUAUUUGAGUUUUCUCAAAUUAUGUAAACAGGAUCAUUUGAUUUUAUUUAUUCUAUCAUCAAUUAUUUCUAUUACAAAAAUAUGAGAGAGGGAAUAAAAUGACUUUUCCAAAAUAUAGAAAUAUUGAGGAUUUAAUAAAAAAUCAAAUAAGUUUUAUUUCGGAGUUUUUUGGUAUUUUUAUUUGAAUUUAGGAAAAAUGCGCGUUUUUCAAAUUGUAGUUUGGGCCCAGAUAAAUGUUCACUUUAUCGGGCUUGAUUUUAGGAACCCGGCAAAAUUUAUUUCGUGAUUUUUGGAGUCCGUUUAGUAUUUCUUUUUAUUUUUCUUCCGAGCGGAUUUAAAAAAAAACUAGAACCGACUCCGUGCCGUAACCGGCCAGGAAACCUCCGCCCGGGGCCUUUAUAUAGCGCCCGAACCGGCCGAGAGAGAGAGAGAGGCCCGAAGCCAGCUAACCCUAACCCUAGCUAAGCCGCCGCCGCCUCCCAGCCGUCGCCGCCCGCCGCUGCCGACUCGCCGGAGCGCGCGCCUUUCGAGGUUCGCCGCCGCCUCGUUUUCCGUGAAGUUUUUUUUUAAAAAAAAAAUCUGUUCGUCGUUUUUCUUUUUCGUCGGAUUUUCCGCGGUUAUUUUCUGAUCGCGAUUUCUGAUCCGGUUUUCGUUUUAGUAUAACUUUUCGCUCGUUUAUCGGAAUCAGGCGAUUCAAGCGCCUGGAGUUUCGUCUCGAAACCCUCUUUCCGAAUAAUCAACUUAAACAAGUUUUUGCUACUGUAAAAUUUGCCCUAGAUCCAGAUUACUAGAAGGAAGUUGUUUUUUUUGCCGUUUGAUUUCUUUCGCUUCGUUCGAUUUGAUUCUUUUGCCAACCAGGGUUCUUAAGUUGAACUUUCUGGUUAGAUCUUCUAUUUGAGUUUUACUUGUGCAUUAGAUGAGUACUUAUUGUAUGCUUGAUGUUUGUCUGUGAUAGAAUACCCGGAGUGCGCCGCCUGUUACUUCGAAUCUCUAGGUUUCGCGGAUCAUCAGCAAGGCAAGUAACACUUUGAUCAUACCUUUUCUACAACCCAGUUUUAUUGCAUUAGAUCAAUCCUCACACAUUGCAUGAUUAGGAUCUAAUUAAAUUGUGGGAUGGGAAGUAGAUGAGGUAGUACCUAUUACCUGUUUAUUAUCAAACCUUUGGGAGUUACUUCUACGUUUGCUUAUGCCAUGUUAUGCCGGUAGACGUGGAUUGGGUGAGUGAUAUCCAUGACAGAUGUGAGAUUUAUAAUUAAGGGUUAUCUAAGGUGGCAACCUAACACACAUCUGGGUGGAUUGAGGCACCUGGGGUUACCAGGACUUGCCUGUUUUCUUUUGGACCGCCACCCAGGCCCAAAGGGAUCAUGAGAUUUUUCAUACUAGAAACUUCCGUGUGCAGCCACAAGCCAUUAUGGGCUCUGGCAUAGUUGACUAAGUUGUGCGAACUCUUACAGUGGUAGACUAGCAGAUGUAGGGGAAAGUAGGUGUACCGGUCUACCCGUCGUAAGGUGCUAGCGCUUCUGAAAGACUGUGUCUCGGUCAUCCGUUUCUCAAACACCUUGUAGUGCGAGAAACCAAACGGAGGUGAUCGAGUCUUGUGGGGAAAAGUGCGCAAACCUCUGCAGAGUGUAACAAACUAAUCAUGGUUAGCCGUGUCCCUGAUUAUGGACAUCUUGAGUAUCUAUUACCUGGAUUAUCAUGUGAAUCUCAACAUGUUACUCUAAAAUUAAUUUUGUGGGAUUUUAAUGAUGUUACUUAAUUGGGAUUGAGGAUGCUGUCAACCAUUCUCAAUGUUUAACAACCACCAUGAUAGUAAUUAAUUUUAUUCCUUUGAAGUAGGGAAAAAUUGGCUUUACGCAAAAACUGUAACCAUAGAGCUUUCCACCAGCCAAAUAUGCAUAUAGUAUAGUUGUUGCAUUCCAUUACUCUCUAUGUGUUACCUUGCCAGCAUAUUCCAUGUGCUGACCCGUUUCGGGCUGCAACGUUAAUGUUGCAGACUUUUCAGAUGACGAUUGAGGAAUUUUAGGUCGUGGUUCUAUACUCAGUGAUGCCGUUGGAGUUGAUGGACUCACUUAUCUUCCAAGCCUUCCGCUGUUAUCGUUAUUAGAUGGCCUUAAGCCAUAUUUAUUGUAAUAAGUUCUCUUUUGAGACACUCGAUGUAAUAAGUGUGUGAUUGCUACUCUGCUAUAAAUCCUCCGAGUACUGUGUGGUGUCAGCAUUACUGAUCCAAGGAUGACAUCGGAGCACAGAGAUCAGACUGUUUAAGGUCUGGUCGCUACAUAUUCCAGUUGCAAUUGCUUGACCAUCUCAAUUUCCGAGUCACGGCUGGAAUGCACAGGACUGAGAUAGCCGGACAGCAUGUCACUAACAUUCAGAUGAGCAUAGUGAGAGAUAUCAAAUUGUACUUUCUGUCUUUCCAAGGCCUCCUGUUUAGCAGAAUGCCUGGCCAGCACAGUCGGAUUACCCGGCGCAACAAAUCUGCUGCCAGUGAUCAAAACGUCAUGGUCAGAAGAUGCUGGCAGGUUAGCUGAACCGGACGGUCUGACGGUGGAUGGAUCGACAAUGGUUUCGUCAGCUGACGGCUCAGGAGGGUCCAAUUGAGCAUGGACAGCUAAAUCUUCUGGCGCUUCAGAUUGAGUGGGAGGAGUUGAUGUUGCCAGUUCAGGUGCAGGAUUUUUUGGGUCCUCUGCCGGUUUAAUCACCUUGGCUUUCUUGGACUUUGCUUGACCGCUAAGAAAGAUUUUUAUGAAAUAGUUAGUAUAAUGAUGCAGUUUUAAAAAUGUAGAGGAAAGAUGAUUUUCCUUACCCAUGGGCAGUCUUGAAAGCCGGAAAUUGAGUUUGGGAUGAGUCGCCAGAAGAGCGAGAGACCUCCUGCAAAGGUAAAAUAAAGUUAAGAAUAUAAGGAAAUAAAUUCAUGGAUAAAAACAAAGGACAAAGGUGAAAGAAACCUCAUUCUGGCGUUUUUGAGGAGUUUUUUCUAAGUCGAAAGGUGGUUCAUCAUCAUCAUUAGUCCGGGCCAGAUGGCGGCUCUCAUGUUGCUGCUUUUUCAAAAGAAAAUGAGGGUCCAAAUAAGCCAAAGGGUGCAAAAACCUUACUUUCCGGGUUACCAGUCGAAGUUUCUGUCUCGGCAAAGGGGCUGAGUCGUAGGAAAUAGUUACCUCUUCUUCCGCGGCCUGGCUGGCCCCCGUGUCAUCCUGGCAAUAGUCAGUGUCAAUAAGAUAGUUGAAAAUUUGGCCAAGGGAGAAAGGGCUACCUCCGACUCAGAAACAUCAUCAAGCUGGAAGAUGUCAGAUGCAGUCUUCUUCUUGGGCUUCCGGGUCGUUCUCUUGGCGGCUACGGCAGCGGAUCUAGCCUUCUUGGUAGCUUCAUGAUCAUACUUGGCCUUCCAGAAGUCAGAUUUGUCCUGUAAACAAAUAAAGAGGUUAAAAGGUCAUGCAAGUAUUUAAACUACUGAGGUAAACACAAAAAGAGAAAAAGGUCAAGAAGUUACCUCUGGUGUCGGGUUAAGUUUGCAGAAGGGGUUUAAUCCAACCUUGCUGUAGUCCUCGUAUUUGCCAUUCACGAGGAUGGUAGACAUUGCAACAAUGUCUUCUUCAGUUAAUUGUACAGAGCUAUAACGCAGAGAAUCAUUUGGGCCUCCGCCAUACUUAUACAUCAACUUGGAUCGGCGGCUUAGAGGGAUGACCCGCCAUGAGAUCCAGCAAUGGAUCAGGUCAACUCCGGUUAAGCCAUUUCCCAAUAAAGCUUGAAUCCUUUUGACAGAUGGGAUAAGCUUCUUGCGUUCAGCAGUAGUAAGCUUGUCAGGGAGCACAAACUUGGAAUCAAGACGCUCUUCACGAUAACCCGGCAGUGGUUUUUCAUCAGCCGGUGAUGUAUCUUGGCAGUAGAACCAGGUUUGCUUCCAGUCUUUGGGAUGGCUCGGUAAGACCACUAAAGGAAAAACGGCACCUUGUCAGCGUUGAAUUGAAAUUCUGCCAAGUUCCAAGCUAAGGCCGUUGGUGCACUCAUUCUGGCGGUUCAAGUAAAAGUACUCUCUAAAGAGCUCCACAGUUGGUUCUUCUUGAAGAUAUACCUCACAAAGAACUUGAAAAUUGCAGAUGUUGGAUAUAGGGUUGGGUCCAAUAUCUUGUGGAUGAAGCUUGAAAAAAUGCAGGACAUCUUGGACGAACUUUGAGCCGGGUGGUGAGAAGCCCCGGUUCAUGUGAUCUGUGAAAACGAUAACUUCGCCGUCUUUGGACUAAGGUCGUUCUUCGUCCGGGUCAGGAGCACGAUAAGACAUAACGCUUUUCUCUGGCAAAAAUCCAAUGGUGACAAAUUAUUUCAAGGUAUCUUCAGUAACUGUGGAAGGCACCCGGUUGCAGACAGUUGGCGCUUUUGACGGCAUGAUGAAGAAAGGGCAAGCUGAAAAGAAAGUAAUUUGCCGGUUCAAUUUAUUGGUGGAGUUACAGGUUCAUGAUUAUAGUACAGAUGAGUAAUGGCGGCUUAAGUAAGGGCUAAUGACAUGUAAAGGAAAAAUAAGCCGGAGUCAUAAGCCGCCAUGACUAAAAAGUAUUUGAAGGUUGCCAGAAUCAAAAUUGACUAAAGUGUUGAGACAAACAGGUUUCCCAAGUUGUGGCUAUUAUUAUGGAUCAAAAUGGUUCAGAAAAUAAAAAUAAAGUUAGACCUAGAAAACGAGCACAGAGGAGUUUGUCAGCUCUAAAGAGGCAUUUAUACAGGAGAAGGGGAUCUGUUAGCUUCAAAAAUGGAUGAGAAAUAGCUACCUCAUAAGUUUUGUACUACUUUUAGAUCAAAAGAGGGUGCGGUAAGAGAAGUUGCAACGAAUCUAUGACGAACAACGAAGAACACAAGAAGGAAACCUCCCGAACCCUAAUGCAGAUCUAUGGGGGUGAGAAGGUGAGAGCUUACAGGUGCGGAGCUGCUGCGGAGGAUCGCCACCGUUCUCUGGAUAGACUCAGGGUGAUGCUGCGGCCAGAGUUGAGGACGACGGUGCGCUACGGUGGCGACGGAGCUCGAGCGGCAAAGAAGGUGCGAGAGGAAGAAGAAAGAGGAAGGACUGGCCGAGCCUAUUUAUAAGGGGGUAAGUGAACGGGCAGACGCAAAAAUUGAGGAAGACCAAAGUAAUGAUUAUCCAGCUAAAUGGACGCCUCGAUCUUCGGAAAACAUUUAAGAUAAGGAUCCGUUGAAGAUGAAAUCGUGGUGUUUUUCCAAAUUUUUUCAAUCCUAAUGGUUGGUUAAUAAAAUAAGCUCAGUGAAUAUACAAGGCGAUAGUUUAUUAUAAGACUUGUAGUAGGCCCAAGCCCAAAGGCGGUUUAAGGCCCAUAAUUGUAAACCGCCAUGUAUAAGAAAGACUUGUAAAGAAAGGCAUGUAAGAGAAGUCACCGAGCCGAACACGUUAUAUGAGCCGGCCGGGACUCUGUAGGCUGCCAGGCGUCAACCCAUGUAUAUAAGGGGAUGACCCGGUGGCUGCUUAGGACAAGUAACAUCAAAUCAAGAGCCAUGCAUAGCGUAUUUGCUCCCUGAUCAUCGAAACCUAGCAAUAUCACAUCAACUGGACUAGGCUUUACCUUCACCGUAAGGGGCCGAACCAGUAUAAACCUUUCGUGUCCUUUGUCCCGAUUAACCCCUUUAAGCUUCCUAGUUGCGAUGGCUCCACGGCUAAGUCCUUUCACUAGGACAUCAUCCGUGACAAUUCCACGACAACUCUGGUGCGGAUCUUACUAUGGUUGACCUACGAGGUUCAGCGGUAACUUGAUCUGAAGUUUCAUGAUCAUCAUCAUUAGCUUCCUCACUAAUUGGUGUAGGAAUCACUGGAACUAAUUUCUGUGAUGAACUACUUACCAAUUCGGGAGCAGGUACAAUUGCCUCAUCAAGUUCUACUUUCCUCCCACUCACUUCUUUCGAGAGAAAGUCCUUCUCUAGAAAGGAUCCUUUCUUAGCAACGAAUAUAUUGCCUUCGGAUCUGUGAUAGAAGGUGUACCCAACAGUCUCCUUUGGGUAUCCUAUGAAGACACAUUUCUAUGAUUUGGGUUCGAGCUUAUCAGGUUGAAGCUUUUUCACAUAAGCAUCACAGCCCCAAACUUUAAGAAACGACAACUUAGGUUUCUUGCCAAACCACAGUUCAUAUGGUAUCAUCUCAACGGAUUUAGAUGGUGCCCUAUUUAAAGUGAAUGCAGUCUGAAAGUGCGUUAUAUCGACUAGAGGGGGGGUGAAUAGGCGAUUUUUAUGAAAGUCUUCAAAACAUGGAAGUUUCGAAGACAAACGAUAGAAAUAAACCUAUUACCAUGCAGUGGAAGUUAGACUACACUAGAUAAACCGUAGUCAUGUAUUCAAUGAAGUGAAAGGACAAUGACUAAUAGUAGCUAGGUAGUAAGGAUCAGGCAGGAAGAUAUUAAGAAGCCAAACGGAUCACACAGUCACUCAGUGAAGACAAAAGAUAGAGAAAACAUACAAUGACUUCACACAGAGUAACAGUAAGUAAAGAGAAGGGAAGGAUGAAACCAGUGACUCGUUGAAGACAAAGAUUUGUUGGACCAGUUCCAGUUGCUGUGACAACUGUACGUCUGGUUAGGGCGGCUAGGUAUUUAAACCAAAGGACACACAGUCCCGGACACCCAGUCCUGAACACGCAGCUCAGGACAUCCAGUCCUCACCGUAUUCCCCUUGAGCUAAGGUCACACAGACCUCGCCCAAUCACUCUGGUAAGUCUUCAAGGUAGACUCCCAAACCUUCACAGACUUCGUUCACCGGCAAUCCACAAUGUCUCUUGGAUGCUCAGAACGCGAUGCCUAACCAGCUGGAGGAUGCACAGUCCUCAAGUGUAAUAAGUCUUCAGAUCACUCAGACAAGAAGACUUAAGUGAUGCCUAAUUCUCUUUCGCUCUGGGUGGUUAGGGCUUUAUCCUCGCAAGGAAUUCUCUCUCAAAGGCUUCGAGGUGGGUUGCUCUCAAACGACAAAAGCCGUACUUUGAAUCUGAGUAGCCAACCGUUUAUGGUUGUAGGGGGUGGGCUAUUUAUAGCCACUAGGCAACCCGACCUGAUUUGUCCGAAAUGACCCUGGGUCACUAAGGAACUAACAUGUGUUCCAACGGUCAAAUUUCAAACUCACACGGAAACUUUACUUGGGCUACAAGCAAAGCUGACUUGUCCGACUCUGGACAAGAUUUUCUCUCAUAGUCUUCACUCGAAGACAUAGGUUUUUGUUUAAGCAUCACUUUAGUCAUUCUGACUGGCUCUCUUGGACCCCACUUAACAGUAUGUUGGUUCCUAUGACUCAACACAGAAGAAAAAGAACUACGAAAAAUCUAAGUGUUCAAGCUCCAUAGGCUUCAUGCGGUGUCUUCUCUUGUCAUAGUCUUCAAUGUGAAUAUCUUCAUAUACCACCUUUGACAUCAAUGUCUUCAUACACUUUUAGGGGUCAUCUCUGGUGGGAAAACCGAAUCAAUGAGGUACUUCUACCUGUGUUAUCCUGCAAUUCUCACAAACACAUUAGUCCCUCAACUAGGUUUGUCGUCAAUACUCCAAAACCAACUAGGGGUGGCACUAGAUGCACUUACAAUCUCCCCCCUUUUGGUGAUUGAUGACAAACUAGUUGAAGUUUUCAACGGGGAAUAUAAUGUGUGAAAUUGUAAAGGAUAAGGAAUUGUCUUCAUAAGUUACAAGGGCUCCCCCUGAAGAUGUGCAUAUAAGUAAUUUGCUUUUGGAAUGCAAAUGCACAUGGCAGGUUGUGCUUGUGGAGAUCCACUUCAACUUAUGAUGACAAUCCACUAUGCAUGUGAAAGUAUGUGAAGAUAAUGACAUGCAUAAUGGAAAAUGGAUGUCUGCAGAAUGAUCUAAGUGCGGAAUCUAUCAUCGCACAUGCGGAAUUUAUCAUCACAACACAAGGUAGCAAAUAGGUAGCAGACGACCAUCAAGUUUAAGUGUUACAACUCAAAGAACCAAAUGUUUCAAAACGAGAGUUGUAAGCACGAAGCAAAAUAUAAAACACCCGCCCAUAUGGACCCAUUUGAAGACUAUCAAACUCAUAUGCUUCUCCCCCUUUUGACAGUAAGGACCAAAAAGGUUUGAAGACAUAGAGCCUCUACUCGUUCCCAUGAGGAGUAGGUGAAGCAGCAGGAUCGUUGAUGGUGUUUGGCAGUGCAGACGAGCUUGGAGCAGUGUCGACGUGUGCUGAAGGAGGCGGCGAAGAAGUAGCAUCGUCUUCAUCCUCGAUCACUCUGGCAUUCACGGUUGCAGUAGAGGAAGAGAACUCAGGGUCUUCAAGUGAUGGAGUUCGUCGCAGCACAGCCCUGCGAGGAGGUGUGGAGUCAAACUUGAAGCGCUCAGUGAAGCCAUCCUCUUGCAGAUCAUCUUCAGAACACAGCAGCGUCAGCCCUUUCCAUGUGCGUCGAGAUGUUUCAUGAGCAACAAAGGCGUUCUUGGUGGCAAGAUUGUGAAUGCGAUUAACAUCCACCAAGAGGCUUUGCAUUUGACGCUUUAGCCAGUCAUGAUGCCUAUCCUGUUUCUGAUGAAGGGCCACCAGAAGCUCUCGGUCAUUGAGGACACGAGUGCGCUUCUUGGGUCGUUGAGCAAUGGUGCUAUCAGUGGCUUCAGUAAGAGCAGGAUGCGGGGCACGGGUAGUGCCAGCCAAAGGAUACACACGUGUUACUGCUUCAAUGCCUUCAACGUUCCGAGAGAAACUUUGAUGCUCUGCAUUCUGAAGACUUAGAGGUUCCUUGGCAGGCUCAGGAUAUAUGGCUUCAAUAGACAUAUCCACAUCAGGCAAAAAGAUCCGAUGAUUGCGGGCAGAUGGCUGAUAUGAGAUAGCAGAGUGAAGUUUGAUCAGCCGCAUCACCCAAGGGGCGUAGAACUUCAACCCAAAUAGAUCAGAGCCAGAUGCAGCAAGUUGGCGAAUGAAGAAAUCCUAUGUAUUGAAGCAUUUUCCAUGAAGAAUAUAGAAGACCAAAGUCUUCAUUGCACCUUCCAGCUGGGCAUGGGGAGAAUGUCCUUUGAUUGGCCAGAGAGUUCGCCUUAUGAUAUGAUAAAUGGUCCUUGGCAGAUACUCAAGGUCUUCAACAAAGAACUCCGUGGGAUAAGCAGCAUCUUGGGGCAAUGGCUUCAUCAUACUGAGCAUCUGACUCAUAUUGGGUUCAGUCUUCUGAAAGAUGCUCUCAACAGCUUCAAUGUGAAGCUGACAGCCAUGCUCAUAGAGAUCGCCAGGAGUGGGCAAGCCAGUGAGCUCAAUGAUGUCAAAGACUUUGGCUUCGUGAUGAACAUUUCCAGUCAUCCACUCUAGGACCCAAGUCUUUGGAUCUCUGUUAUACCCGCGGAUGUGAAGUGUGGCAUAGAACUGGAGCAGCAACUCUUCAUUCCAAUGCUCUUGGUCAGUGACGAAUGGUAGCAGCCCAACUUCAUUGAAGCAAUCCAAAGCUUCUUCCAGACAGGCAGACCAGCUAUAGCUUCAAUGUCAAGGCGCUUGUGUGGGAAGAUGCGACCUUUGUUGUAAAGAAUGCAUGAGUAAUAGCUUCGCUGCUGAUAGCUCCAGAACCGAUCAGAUGAUAUUCUUUCCCUGGAGUAGGGGUUCCUGGAGCUAUUGAAGAAUGUGUUGUCUGCUCUGAAGCCAUUGAUGUUAAAGGAGCCAGGUGCUAAUGCAGGACCUGGGAACCUGGGCAAUCUUGGGAUUGGCUUCUGGACCUGAGGCCUGUGCUCAACAUGAUAGUCGAAUUGGGGACCGGCAGCAGACGCAGGAACAGGAGCAGCAGGAUUAGUGGCUUCGCUGACUUCUGGUGCUGUUGGGGGUGAGGGCUCCACAUUAGCUUCAGCCAUGACGGUGUCAGUGGCUUCAGUGGUGUUGGUGGUGGCAGCCUCUAGAUUUUCAACCUCCACUUGACGAGCUGGAGGGUCGGUCAUGAUCACGUUCUCCUCGAGAACCGCUUCUUGGUGGGGCAGGGGAGUAGCAGCUUGUGGAACUUCUUCUUCCGUGGCUGAUGCAGCUAGAUUGUCUUCAGCAGAGACUUGAGGCCUUGGACCUUUGUGAAGCCUGCGCAACGCGGGCGAUGCCUGUGGAGCUGGAGUGGGCUGGGCCUCAUAGUCUUCUUCCUCUUGUUGGCGAUCCGCCCAUGAAGCAUCCUGUGCCAUUGGCGUCAGUGGACGACCAAUGCUGAUGAGUUCGUUGUUUUCAAGCUGAGGAAGAACUGCACCAUCUUCUACAUGGUCAUGUUGACCAAUGUCUUCAGCAGUGAUGGGAUCAGCUGUUGGAAAGUCUUUAGCUUUAUGAGCCUCUGUGGAAGCAGGCUCAUGGAUUGUCAGUUGGCGUUCAGCUUCAGGAUAGACCAUUGAAAUAGGUUCAACUAUCAAAGGCUCUGUGGGAGCAGCCUGUUCCUUCUUGGUCUUUCGUUUCUUCUUGGAGGGGGCAGUAGGAGAGGCUUCAGGAUGUUUCCUCUUCCUGGCUUCAGCCUCAGCAGUCCUUGUCUUCUUGAGCUCUGAAGCGGUUGACCGGCUUUUUGGCUUCAAGCCAGUCAGUCUAGUUGGGAAGACAAUCGGAACUGCUUCCUGCCUUGGUGCGUCGGAUUCAGCCGUAGCAGUCUUCUUCUUCUUCUUUGCGGCCAUCCUAGGGUCAAUGCCAGGACGCCCAAGGGCCUUGCGCUUCUCAGCCUCAUUGUAGGCUUGCACACAUCUGUCAGCCAGAGCCUUCAUGCGCUCACGUGAAUCCCGAGCUUCUGCACAUUUCUUCAGAAAGGCUUCCUUGAGCUCGUGCAUCAUGAUCUUGAAGUUCUUCACUUCUUGCACACUGAGCUUGGCCAUAUGCUUCUUGAACUGAGCCUUUUCAUAGUCAAUCUUCUGCUUUAGUUCAACAACGUGUCGGGCGAUGGCUAGCUCUGAAGCAAUGGCGCCUUGGAAGGCGACACUGAGGCCAAUGGGUAGCUGCAGAUCAUCAAAGCUGAUGUUUGGCAUAUCAAACCACUCGUCAAUGAAGUUGUGGAUGAUGGUUACAUCAAAGAGAGGCAGAUCAUUGAAGAUUUCGGCUUCUUCUUUGCUCUUGAUGAGUUGCUCAAGAGCGUCAUCUGCAAGAUCUUCAUCACUUGACAGAUCAAUGUCAUCAUUGCGCAGAAUGGCAGCAGCUGUUAGCUCUUGGCCGGUGUGUGGCAGAGGCAUCUUGGCCUUCUAGGGCUUGGAGAUGCGUGAUAAAUCUUCGGACUGCACACUGUCUUCAGGAGAUGCAGUUGCCAGUGGCUUCGCCCUUGAGAUUUUUGGUGAAGGGGCAGGCUUUGAAGCUUUGGGCUUCUUCAACUUCUUUGGUGUUGGCGCUGCAGGCGCUUCAUCUGAUUCAGCGUUAGCUGCAGGCUCAUUCACGGUUGUCCCUUGAACCAAGAUAUGGGUGAUGAGUCCUGCAAGGUUGUAGAAAGGACCGACGACAUUGGGUUCCGCAUCGCGUGUGCCGUCAGCCCUUGGAGCAGAAGGACCAGGGUUGAAGUCUAAUCCAAAAGACUUCUUGUUCUGCUUUGCUGAGUUCUUGGCAAACUGGAAGUUGCGCUUGAAUAGAUUGUCGUCACGGCACCAUAGUAGUGACGAUGGGUGUGCAUCUGCAGGCUGUGGCCCACGCACCAUGCAGGGAUAGAAGCCUUGUUCAAUGGCUUCUUCUCUGGACCUGGGUUGAAGAUUCUUGUAUAGGAUGUCUCCCCAUGGUCUCUUGAUGGCAUUUCUCUCAGCAUAUUCCUGGGUCACAAACCGGUAUUUGAACCAUUGUUCUGCCCAAUAUCUUCGAAUCCAUUGGAUUCGGGUCUUGCGCUGAUUAUAAUCCUGUUCAGGAUCUGUCUUGUAAAGCUCUGAGAGGUCAUCAGGAAAAUCUCUUGAUGUCCCCCCACGACGCUGUCUGCCACCCUUCCUUACUGAUUUCUCUGCAGCCAUGAACUUCAAACUGAAAGGCUUCAAAACGUUCAAAGGCUUCAAAGGUUUUCGCUUGCUGGACAAACAGGAACUGGCUUCGGGAGAAUUUAUAUGAUGCUGUAAGAAUUCUGCAAAUGAAUGCAGACUAUGAGAACCAAGGGAUUCUCCCAUGGACAUGUACCUGUGACAACAUUAAGGUGCAAGGGAAGGGGAAGAGGUCAUAUGCAUUCUCAGGAGAUUUUGAAGAUAAAUCAGUUUAGAAGACAUUGACCUCAUCGUGCGAAGACAUUCACUCAUAGAUAAGGAGUUGGUUCCAGAUUUGUACGAAUCCAGUGAUCAGUACAAGUGAGGAAUCUAACUACUUGUGAAGCAUAAGUGAAUAUACUAGGCAUGUUAUGAGAUGCAGUAGGAAAGAGAUCCAACUUGUGUGAAUAGAAACUUCUUAUGGUAGAAAGUGACAAAGCCAUAGGAUCAAAAGGGGCCGUAAAAAGAAGUUUUAUUUACCACACUUGGAACUGCUAGAUGGAGUGGAAGAGGAGGCCGAGCAGUUCGAUCUUCUGUGCCCUAACUUGGCGACGAAGGACACCUACGGCGACGGCGGAGAGGACGAUGUCCGCGGUCGGUGUGAAGACGGCGUCGGAGAGGUUGCGGCAGUGAAGCGCUUCGUCGCCGGCGUCGUCGAGGGCUAGCAGUGGCACUAGGGUUCGUGCGAGGGUGGAAGAAGAGAUGAUGACCGCUGUGAAGGGUGUAUUUAUAGGUACAGGGGCGGCACUGCGUUAUUACACAGGUGCCCCUGGCGAUUCACAUCUGAGGAACACGUGGCCAUCAUGCAGUAUAUUGGGGUUUGUUCCACGUCUCACGCACGCCUAGAUUGUCGGGUGGUCGUUCCUACUUCUCCGGGUUUCAUGUGGAGGAAUGGGCAUUGAAAACGGACUUAAUGUUUGUCUCUGUAUGUUCUGCUGACAAGGACGCAGAGAAGACAUUCGACAGUUUCAAUAGAAUGCAUAUGAUUUGGAGAGAUAGAGUUUGAGAUAGAGAGCACAGAGAGGUUAGGGUCCGAUCACAUUCACUUAGAUCAAAAGAUUCAACAAGAAGACAUAGCUAUAAGUGAAUACUGUAGAGGACAGAACACUAGUAUAUAUAUAUAUAUAUAAUCAACAUAGUGAAGAUAAUCAUGAAAACAUGUUGAGAUUGAAACCAAACCAAAUGUGAAGUCAUAGCAAGGUAAUGCCAUGAGUGAAACACUUCAAAUAGAACAUUUGGUGGUGGCGUUACCCACCGUAUAGGAAGUAUUAGACCCAGACACGGCGCACAAUUAUCGUGGCGCUCCGAAGUCAAAUUCCACAUUAAUGUAUUCACACUUAGAAUGUAUGUCUUCAUUGAUUGAAGAUAUACUUUACUUCGUGUGUUGCACAUCUAAGUCAUCAAUAUGCAUAAGGGUUAGGAUGUGUGCCUGAUCACAGGACAUUUGAGGAUUCCAGGAUAUUUAGCUCACAUCGUAACUUGCAAAAUCUCUUCUCAUCCAAGGGCUUGGUGAAGAUAUCUGCCAAUUGCUCUUCAGUGUUGACGUGUAUGAUAUCAAUAUCUUCCUUCACAACAUGAUCUCUGAGAAAGUGAUGACGAAUUUCAAUGUGCUUUGUCUUCGAGUGCUGAACAGGGUUGUUGGCAAUCUUGAUGGCGCUUUCGUUGUCACAGUAGAGUGGCACUUGCUUCAGAUGAAUGCCAUAGUCCUUGAGGGUUUGCUUCAUCCACAGAAGCUGAGCGCAGCAAGAUCCAGCAGCAAUGUAUUCAGAUUCAGCAGUGGAGAGAGAUACACAGUUCUGCUUCUUUGAAGACCAACAUACAGGUGAUCGUCCCAGAAAAUGACAUGUGCCUGAUGUAGACUUGCGAUCCACCUUGUCACCAGCAUAAUCAGCAUCCGAGAAUCCAACCAGAUCAAACUCUGAGCCCUUUGGAUACCAUAAUCCUAGAGUUGGGGUGUGAGCCAAAUAUCGAAGAAUUCGCUUCACAGCUAGGUGAUGCGACUCCUUUGGUGCCGCUUGAAAUCGAGCACACAUGCAAACACUAAGCAUAAUAUCUGGCCUAGAUGCACAUAGAUAAAGCAAAGAACCAAUCAUGGAGCGGUAUACCUUUUGAUCGAACUCUUUACCAUUGUCGUCAGGACCCAGAUGAUGCUUGGCUGGUAUUGGCGUCGUGAACCCUUUGCAGUCUUGCAUACCGAACUUCUUAAGGCAAUCCUUGAGAUGCUUCUCUUGAGAUAUGAAGAUGCCGUUGCGUUGCUGUCGUAUUUGAAUACCGAGGAAAAACUUCAGCUCUCCAUCAUGGACAUCUGAUAUUGCUCUUGCAUCAUAUAUCCAAACUCUUCACUGUACUUCUGAUUGGUGCAGCCGAAGAUAAUGUCAUCCACAUAUAUUUGGCACACAAACAGUUAACCAUCAUAUGUCUUCGUGAAGAGAGUGGGGUCGAGGGAACCAGGUAUGAAGCCUUUGCUCUUCAGGAAGUAUUUGAGUGUGUCAUACCAGGCCCGAGGGGCUUGUUUGAGGCCAUAUAGUGCCUUGUUGAGCUUGUAUACCGUAUCAGGAUGUUUUAGAUCUUCAGAGCCAGGUGGUUGUGCAACAUACACUUCUUCUUCAAUCUUUCCAUUGAGAAAGGCGCUCUUCACAUCCAUUUGAUAAAGAAGUAUGUUGUGAUGAUUUGCAUAGGCCAGCAGUAUGCGUAUGGCUUCAAGUCUAGCCACAGGAGCAAAUGUUUCAUUGAAGUCAAUGCCUUCCACUUGAGUAUAUCCUUGAGCAACUAGACGAGCUUUGUUUCUGACAACUUGACCAUGCUCAUCUUGCUUGUUGCGGUAUAUCCAUUUUGUGCCUAUUAUGUUGUGCUUCCGAGGAUCAGGACGCUUAACCAGUUCCCAUACAUUAUUCAGCUCAAACCGUUGAAGCUCUUCUUGCAUAGCUUGAAUCCAUUCAGGUUCCAUGAAGGCUUCUUCCACUUUCUUGGGUUCUGUUAUUGAGACGAAUGCGAAGUGCCCACAGAAAUUUGCCAGCUGGGUUGCCCUUGAUCGACUGAGCGGACCAGGUGCAUUGAUGCUGUCAAUUAUUCUCUCAAUUUGCACUUCAUUGGCAACACGAGGAUGUACAGGGCGAAGACUUUGCUCUUGCUGAUCAUUGUCGUUGUUGGAGGGAUUGUCUUCAGGUUGAGCAUUGUCUUCAGGUUGAUCUGGUGCAGAGAUGAUGAGUUCCUCUUCAGGAUGAGCUUUAGAAGGUAUGAUUUCUCCAGUUCCCAUUAGCUUGAUUGAUUCACUGGAUGGAACUUCAUCUAGCACAUUUGGCAGGUGCUCUCUUUGUGAACCGUUAGUCUCAUCGAACCGCACAUCCACGGUUUCAACCACUUUAUAAUGAAAGAGGUUGAAGACUCUGUAGGAGUGCGAAUCCUUUCCAUAUCCAAGCAUAAAACCCUCAUGUGCUUUUGGGGCAAACUUUGAAGUGUGAUGUGGGUCCUUGAUCCAGCACCUUGCGCCAAAUACUCUGAAGUAACUGGCAUUUGGCUUCUUGCCAGUGAGGAGCUCAUACGAUGUCUUGUUCAGAAGCUUGUGAAGAUAAACACGAUUGAUUGUAUGGCAUGCAGUAUCAAUGGCUUCAGGCCAGAAUUUUCUUGGAGUCUUGUAUUCAUCUAGCAUUGUUCUGGCCAUCUCAAUGAGUGUUCUGUUCUUGCAUUCGACGACGCCAUUCUGCUGUGGCGUGUACGGGGCUGAGAAUUCAUGUGUGAUGCCCAAGGUAUCAAGAUAUGUAUCAAGGCCAGUGUUCUUGAAUUCAGUGCCAUUGUCACUUUUGAUGUGCUUUAUCUUGGCACCAUAGUUGUUCAUUGCUCGAUUGGCGAAGCGUUUGAAGACAUCCUGCACUUCAGUCUUGUAAAGGAUUAUAUGCACCCAAGUGUAUCUAGAAUAAUCAUCAAUAAUGAAGAAGCCAUAGAGACAAGCAGUAGUAGUAAGAGUUGAGUAAUGAGUGGGACCGAAAAGAUCCAUGUGAAGCAGCUCGAAGGGUCGAGUAGUAGUCAUGAUUGUCUUCGAGGGAUGCUUGGCCCUCGUCAUCUUUCCUGCUUCACAGGCACCGCAUAAGUGAUCUUUCUUGAACUUGACGCCCUCAAUGCCUAUGACAUGCUUCUUCUUUGCCAGGGUGUGGAGGUUCCUCAUGCCAGCAUGCCCAAGCCUCCGAUGCCAGAGCCAGCAUUCUGAAGCUUUUGCUAGAAGACAUACGGCAAGUUGUGGUCCUGCUGAGAAAUCUACCACGUACAGAUCGUCUUUCCGAUACCCUUCAAACACUAGAGACUUGUCAGAUUCCAUUAGAACAAGGCAACAAUAUUUUCCAAAUAUUACGAUCAUGUUCAAAUCGCAUAGCAUUGAGACAGACAUUAAGUUGAAGCCAAGGGAUUCAACAAGCAUGACUUUAUCCAUGUGUUGAUCCUUUGAGAUUGCAACUCUACCUAGACCCAAUACCUUACUUUUACCAGUGUCAGCAAAUGUGAUGUGGCUCUUGUCGGAAGGACGUAAGGUUGAGUCCAUCAGAAGGCUUCUUUUGCCAGUCAUGUGAUUUGUACACCCACUAUCAGUAAUCCAUUCUGUAUACGCUGGUGUCGUACCCUACAGUGCAGUUAGGGGGAUAGGCUUCACGAAGAGAGUUGUGAAGCAAAAACAUUUGACGAACCAGUGGGUUAUGAAAGCUUAGAUCCAGAUUAGUACUGAUAGGGAGAGUAGCAAGCGAUUCAGGAACGAAGUACAUAGUAAGACCAUUCGGCAUUUGAUCUUGCGCCCUACAAGAUGUUUAAGGUCCCCAGCGAUAGCGUCAGAAGAUUUUGGUUUUCUGCUGGAGACCUUUCCCUGCAAAAGAGAGUUAAGCCUUCUUAACAACCCACAUCUUCAAGGGUGGCUUAGAAGCGAUAAGUCUAAGUGCAGAGUCUGAAAACUUUGGCUUUGGGGCUCUAGCAAAAAGUCUUGCAGGUGGACAAUAAUACUCAUAAGAAUAAGCAGAAUAGUUUUUGGUCUUAUGAACAUGGCGGUUCGAUGAACCGCGCUCAUAUUCAUAGGCCUGAGUAUGGUUUCCCUGCAAAACAUUUGCAUUAGUCCGACUCAGGUGAGUCCUCUGUCUGUAUGAAGCCUUUGGGCCAUAUGAAGCCUGUGGUCUGGGGUUUGUCUUCUUCAUCUAUGGUGUCAUGAUGACAUUCACAGGAAGAUUUUCCAAACACCUUUUGGGCACCCAGACCUUCUUCAUAGGCGGUCCAUUCCUGCAGUUAGUACCAAUGUACCUGGCAAAAACUUCACCAUUCUGAUUCUUAAAUAGUUUAUAGUUUGCAUCAAAGGAUUCAUCAAUGACAAUGGGGUUAGCACAAGUGAAGCCAGAUAGACUGGAUGGAUUUGCUGAAGGUUCCUUUGCAGCAACCCAUGUGGUUUUGGGAUACUGCUCGGGUUUCUAGUAAGAGCCAUCAGCAUUCAUUUUCCUUAUGAACCCAACACCCUCUUUCCUCGGGUUUCGGUUCAGAAUCUGCCUUUUGAGGACAUCACAUAGUGUCUGAUGCCCUUUAAGACUUUUGUACAUCCCUGUUUCAAGCAAUGUCUUCAACCUAGCAUUCUCAUCAGCAAUCGCAGUAGUAUCCUCAGUAGAGGGGUUAGUUACCACAUCAACAGUUGAAGAUAUUGCAACAGUAGCAGUAGUAGAACAUUCAGCAACAGAAGCAGCAUUAUCACGCUCAAUGCAUUUAAGACAUGGUGGUUCAAAUCCUUCCUGAGCGGAACUGAUCUGUUCGGCGCGAAGUGACUCGUUUUCCUUUUGAAGAUCUUCAUGAGCCGCUCUCAAUUUCUCAAGAUCUUGCUUCCUUUGAAGAUAAUCAUAGGAAAGCUUUUCAUGAGUUGUUGAGAGCGUUUCAUGACAACUUUCAAGUUCCUCAUAUUUAACGUGAAGAUUUUUUAUGUCUUGAAUUAAGGAUUCAGAUCGAGUCAUUUCAACGCCCAACAAAUCAUCGCUUUUGUCUAACAGUUUUUGAAUAUGUUCCAUGGCUUUCUGUUGUUCAGUUGCAAUUUUAGCAAGUGUUUUGUAGCUGGGUCUUGAAUCACAAUCAGAGUCAUCAUCACUAGAUGUUUGAUAGUGAGUAGUGCGUGUGUUUACCUUGGCACCGUGUGCCAUGAAGCAGUAGGUAGGAGCAGAGUCGUCCUUGUCAUUUGCAUCGGCGUCGGUGGUGAAGUCAUUGUCUUCAGUGUUGAAGAUGGACUUGGCAACGUAUGCUGUAGCCAGACUUGCAACACCAGAAUCGGACUCCUCCUCAGACUCCACCUCCGCCUCCUCAGACGCGGACUCCUCCUCUGAAUCCAUUUCCUUGCCAACAAACGCACGUGCCUUGCCAGAUGAGCUCUUCUUGUGUGAUGAAGACUUUGAGGAAGACUUGGAAGAAGACUUUGAGUAUUUCUUCUUCUUCUUGUCGUCAGAGUCAUAUUCCUUGCUCUUCUUCUUCUUUCUAUUCUCAUUGUCCCACUGCGGACACUCAGAGAUGAAGUGGCUAGUUUUCUUGCACUUGUGACAUGUUUUCUUCUUGUAGUCAUGAGCAGAAGCUUCAUCAUUCCUUGAGCUUGAUCGUGAAGACUUUCUGAAGCCUUUCUUCUUGGGGAAUCUUUGGAACUUCUUUACAAGCAUAGCAAGUUCCUUUCCAAUGUCUUCAGGAUCGUCAGAACUGCUGUCAGAUUCUUCUUCAGAUGAGGAGACAACUUUUGCCUUCAGGGCACGAGUUCGCCCAUAGUUUGGACCGUAGAUAUCUCUUUUCUCAGAAAGCUGAAACUCAUGUGUGUUGAGCCUCUCAAGUAUGUCGGACGGAUCGAGUAUCUUGAAAUCAGGUCGUUCUUGAAUCAUCAGGGCUAGGGUGUCAAACAAACUGUCAAGUGAUCUCAGUAGUGUCUUGACGACUUCAUGCUUGGUGAUCUCAGUGGCGCCGAGCGCUUGAAGCUCAUUUGUGAUGUCAGUGAGUCGGUCAAAUGUGAGCUGGACAUUCUCAUUGUCAUUUCGCUUGAAGCGGUUAAAGAGGUUGCGAAGAACGCUGAUUCUCUGAUCUCUCUGGGUUGAGACGCCUUCGUUGACCUUGGAGAGCUAGUCCCAGACCAGCUUCGAUGUUUCCAAAGUGCUCACACGGCCAUACUGUCCUUUGGUCAGAUGACCACAGAUAAUGUUCUUGGCAGUAGAGUCCAGUUGAACGAACUUCUUGACAUCAGCAACAGUGACACCUUCUCCAGCCUUGGGAACGCCGUUCUUGACGACAUACCAUAGGUCGACGUCAAUGGCUUCAAGAUGCAUGCGCAUCUUAUUCUUCCAGUAGGGAUAUUCAGUUCCAUCGAAGACGGGGCACGCAACGGAGACUUUAAUUAUCCCUGCAGUCGACAUAGCUAAAACUCCAGGUGGUUAAACCGAAUCACACAGAACAAGGGAGCACCUUGCUCUCAUACCAAUUGAAAGUGCAUUAUAUCGACUAGAGGGGGUGACUAGGCGAUUUUUAUGAAAGUCUUAAAAACAUGGAAGUUUCGAAGACAAAUGAUAGAAAUAAACCUAUUACCAUGCAGCGGAAGUUAGACUACACUAGAUAAACCAUAGUCAUGUAUUCAAUGAAGUGAAAGGACAAUGACUAAUAGUAGCUAGGUAGUAAGGAUCAGGCAGGAAGAUAUUAAGAAGCCAAACGGAUCACACAGUCACUCAGUGAAGACAAAAGAUAGAGCAAACAUACAAUGACUUCACACAGAGUAACAGUAAGUAAAGAGAAGGGAAGGAUGAAACCAGUGACUCGUUGAAGACAAAUAUUUGUUGGACCAGUUCCAGUUGCUGUGACAACUGUACGUCUGGUUAGGGCGGCUAGGUAUUUAAACCAAAGGACACAUAGUCCCGGACACCCAGUCCUGAACACGCAGCUCAGGACACCCAGUCCUCACAGUAUUCCCCUUGAGCUAAGGUCACACAGACCUCGCCCAAUCACUCUGGUAAGUCUUCAAGGUAGACUCCCAAACCUUCACAGACUUCGUUCACCGGCAAUCCACAAUGUCUCUUGGAUGCUAUAACGCGACGCCUAACUGGCUGGAGGAUGCACAGUCCUCAAGUGUAAUAAGUCUUCAUAUCACUCAGACAAGAAGACUUAAGUGAUGCCUAAUUCUCUUUGGCUCUGGGUGGUUAGGGCUUUAUCCUCGCAAGGAAUUCUCUCUCAAAGGCUUCGAGGUGGGUUGCUCUCAAACGACAAAAGCCGUACUCUGAAUCCGAGCAGCCAACCGUUUAUGGUUGUAGGGGGUGGGCUAUUUAUAGCCACUAGGCAACCCGACAUGAUUUGUCCGAAAUGACCCUGGGUCACUAAGGAACUGACACGUGUUCCAACGGUCAGAUUUCAAACUCACACGGCAACUUUACUUGGGCUACAAGCAAAGCUGACUUGUCCGACUCUGGACAAGAUUUGCUCUCAUAGUCUUCACUCGAAGACAUAGGUUUUUGUUUAAGCAUCACUUCAGUCAUUCUGACUGGUUCUCUUGGACCCCACUUAACAGUGCGGUGGUUCCUAUGACUCAACACAGAAGAAAAAGAACUACGAAAGAUCUAAGUCUUCGAGCUCCAUAGGCUUCAUGCAGUGUCUUCUCUUGUCAUAGUCUUCAAUGUGAAUAUCUUCAUAUACCACCUUUGACAUCAAUGUCUUCAUACAUUUUUAGGGGUCAUCUCUGGUGGGAAAACCAAAUCAAUGAGGUACUUCUACCUGUGUUAUCCUGCAAUUCUCAUAAACACAUUAGUCCCUCAACUAGGUUUGUCGUCAAUACUCCAAAACCAACUAGGGGUGGCACUAGAUGCACUUACACAGUCGUCUCUAAAGCAUAACCCCAAAAUGAUAGCAGUAAAUUAGUAAGAGACAUCAUAGAUCGCACCAUAUCUAAUAAAGUGCGGUUACGAUGUUCGGACACACCAUUAUGUUGUGGUGUUCCGUGUGGCGUGAGUUGCGAAACUGUUCUGCAUUGUUUCAAAUGAAGACCAAACACGUAACUCAAAUAUUCACCUCCACGAUCAGAUUGUAGAAACUUUAUUUUCUUGUUACGAUAUUUUUCCUCUUCACUCUGAAUUUUUUUGAACUUUUCAAAUGUUUCAGACUUAUGUUUCAUCAAGUAGAUAUACCCAUAUCUGCUCAAAUCAUCUGUGAAGGUCAGAAAAUAACAAUACCCGCCGCGAGCCUCAACACUCAUCGGACCGCAUACAUCCGUAUGUAUUAUUUCCAACAAGUCUAUUGCUCACUCCAUUGUUCCGGAGAAUGGAGUCUUAGUCAUCUUGCCCAUGAGGCAUGGUUCGCAAGCAUCAAGUGAUUCAUAAUCAAGUGAUUCCAAAAGUCCAUCAGCAUGGAGUUUCUUCAUGCGCUUUACACCAAUAUGACCUAAACGGCAGUGCCACAAAUAAGUUGCACUAUCAUUAUUAACCUUGCAUCUUUUGGCUUCAAUAUUAUGAAUAUGUGUGUCACUAUUGUCGAGAUUCAAUAAAAAUAGAUCACUCAUCAAGGGUGCAUGACCAUAAAAGAUAUUACUCAUAUAAAUAGAACAACCAUUAUUCUCUGAUUUAAAUGAAUAUCCGUCUCGCAUCAAACAAGAUCCAGAUAUAAUGUUCAUGCUUAACGUUGGCACCAAAUAACAAUUAUUCAGGUCUAAAACUAAUCCCGAUGGUAGAUGUAGAGGUAGCAUGCUGACGGCGAUCACAUCGACUUUGGAACCAUUUCCCACGCGCAUCGUCACCUCGUCCUUAGCCAAUCUUCGCUUAAUCCGUAGCCCAUGUUUCGAGUUGCAAAUAUGAGCAACAGAACCAGUAUCAAAUACCUAGGCGCUACUACGAGCAUUAGUAAGGUACACAUUAAUAACAUGUAUAUCAAAUAUACCUUUCACUUUGCCAUCCUUCUUAUCCAUCAAAUACUUGGGGUAGUUCCGCUUCCAAUGACCAGUCCCUUUGUAGUAGAAGCAUUCAGUCUCCGGCUUAGGUCCAGACUUGGGCUUCUUCACUUGAGCAACAACUUGCUUGUCAUUCUUCUUGAAGUUCCCCUUCUUCCCUUUGCCCUUUUUCUUGAUACUGGUGGUCUUGUUGACCAUCAACACUUGAUGCUCCUUCUUGAUUUCUACCUCUACAGCCUUUAGCAUUGCGAAGAGCUCGGGAAUUGUCUUAUCCAUCCCUUGCAUAUUAUAGUUCAUCAUGAAGCUUUUGUAGCUUGGUGGCAGUGAUUGAAGAACUCUGUCAAUGACACUAUCAUCAGGAAGAUUAACUCCUAGUUGAGUCAAGUGGUUGUGGUACCUGGACAUUUUGAGUAUAUGUUCACUAACAAAACUAUUCUCCUCCAUCUUACAGCUGUAGAACUUAUUGGAGACUUCAUAUCUCUCAAUCCGGGCAUUUGCUUGAAAAUUUUACUUCGACUCCUGGAACAUCUCAUAUGCUCCAUGAUGUUCAAAACGUUGUUGAAGUCCCGAUUCUAAGCCGUAAAGCAUGGCACACUAAACUAUCGAGUAGUCAUCGGCUUUGCUCUACCAGACGUUCAUAAUGUCCGGUGUUGCUUGAUACGUCUCCGUCGUAUCUACUUUUCCAAACACUUUUGUCCUUGUUUUGGACUCUAACUUGCAUGAUUUGAAUGGAACUAACCCGGACUGACGCUGUUUUCAGCAGAAUUACCAUGGUGUUAUUUAUGUGUAGAAAUAAAAGUUCUCGGAAUGACCUGAAACUUCAGGGAACGUCUUUUUGGAAAUAAUAAAAAAUCCUUGCAAAAGAUGAAGACCAGGGGGCCCACACCCUAGCCACGAGGGUGGGGGCGCGCCUGCCCCCCUAGGCGCGACCCCUACCUUGUGGGCCCCCUGGAGCUCCUCCGACCUCAACUCCAACUCUAUAUAUUUGCUUUCAGGGAGAAAAAAAUUAGAGAGAAGGAUUCAUCGCGUUUUACAAUACAGAGCCGCCGCCAAGCCCUAAAACCUCUCAGGAGGGCUGAUCUGGAGUCCGUUCGGGGCUCCGGAGAGGGGAAUCCGUCGCCAUCGUCAUCAUCAACCUUCCUCCAUCACCAAUUUCAUGAUGCUCACCGCCGUGCGUGAGUAAUUCCAUCAUAGGCUUGCUGGACGGUGAUGGGUUGGAUGAUAUUUAUCAUGUAAUCGAGUUAGUUUUGUUAGGGUUUGAUCCCUAGUAUCCACUAUGUUGUGAGAUUGAUGUUGCUAUGACUUUGCUAUGCUUAAUGCUUGUCACUAGGGCCCGAGUGCCAUGAUUUCAGAUCUGAACCUAUUAUGUUUUCAUCAAUAUAUGAGUGUUCUUGAUCCUAUCUUGCAAGUCUAUAGUCACCUACUAUGUGUUAUGAUCUGGCAACCCCGAGGUGACAAUAAUAGGGACCACUCCCGGUGAUGACCGUAGUUUGAGGAGUUCAUGUAUUCAUUAUGUGUUAAUGCUUUGGUCUGGUACUCUAUUAAAAGGAGGCCUUAAUAUCCCUUAGUUUCCGCUAGGACCCCGCUGCCACGGGAGGGUAGGACAAAAGAUGUCAUGCAAGUUCUUUUCCAUAAGCACGUAUGACUAUAUUCGAAAUACAUGCCUACAUUACAUUGAUGAAUUGGAGCUAGUUUUGUGUCACCCUAGGUUAUGACUGUUACAUGAUGAACCGCAUCCGGCGUAAUUCUCUAUCACCGAUCCAUUGCCUACGAGCUUUCCAUAUAUUGUUCUUCACUUAUUUACUUUUCCGUUGCUAUUGCUAUCAUCACUACAAAAUACCAAAAACAUUAAUUUUGCUAUCGUUACCUUUUGCUACCGUUACCACUACUAUCAUAUUACGUUGCUACUAAACACUUUACUACAGAUAUUAAGUUUCUAGGUGUGGUUGAAUUGACAACUCAACUUUCAACUGCUAAUACUUGAUAAUAUUCUUUGGCUCCCCUUGUGUCGAAUCAAUAAAUUUGGGUUGAAUACUCUACCCUCGAAAACUGUUGCGAUCCCCUAUACUUGUGGGUUAUCAAGACUAUUUUCUGGCGUCGUUGCCGGGGAGCAUAGCUCUAUUCUUUGAGUCACUUGGGAUUUAUAUCUGUUUAUCAUUAUGAAGAACUUGAGAGAUCCAAAAACCAAGAUUUAUCUCUCAACUACGAGGGGAGGUAAGGAACUGCCAUCUAGCUCUGCACUUGAUUCACCUUCUAUUUUGAGUAAGCUUGCGACACCUAAACCUGCUUCUGCUAUUCAUUCUGAUAUGUCGCAUGUUAUUAAUGAUGCCACUUGUGCUAUGCAUGAUACUUAUGAUGAAACUACUUCUAUGCUUGAUACUACUGUGCCACUUGGUGAAUUUCUUGAUGAACAACUUGCUAGGGUUAGAGAGAAUGAAAUUAUUGAAACUGAUAAUAUAUAUAUAUAUAUUUGAAUAUAUACUGUAGGGUAAAACCCCCACAGCCCUUUAUUGCAGUCUCAAAAAACAAACUGUACAGUGAAAGAAAGAGAUGACAAGCCUAAACGAAAAGUUAAGAAGAACUUACAAUUACAUGAGGGAGUUAACUCAAUCUACAAGCCUAGACUUAGAGCUAUCCUUAAACCUAUGUGACAGGAGAAGAAUGUCAUGUACAAAACUGCCCCUCCAGGCAACAAAAGUAGCCCGUAGUCCCCUGAAAGUUCUUCCAUUUCUCAGAAUCCAUAUAUUCCAAGCAGCUGUGAGCAUAACUUCAAAGAAGAAAGGAUACCCAAAUCGCUGCCUUGCUUGAGAUAUACAUUGCUGAAUAGAAGAACCAUGUGACCAAUCGAUCUGCAGGUAUUUCCAAACCCUGGCACUGAAAUUACAACCAAAGAAUAGGUGAGCCCUGUCCUCCCAAACAAAGGCAUUACAGAUGACACAUAGAUGAUCAGCCGUAGGGGACCUCCGGUGGCUGCGGACCAGCACGUCCUUUGUGUUGAGUCUGUCAAAGAAUAGGAGCCAGCCAAAAACCUUAAUUUUCAUAGUACAUAUGCUCUGCCAAAGCCACCUGCAGGGUUUAAUAGUUGGGAGGUGUGUAUGCAUGAUGUCAUAGAAGCUCUUUGCAGAAAACUGUCCAGAUUUACCAGGCCAAAUCCAAACAUCAGGCAAUGUUGGAUCUCUCUGGAGAUUGAACAUCCUUCCUUCCAAGGAUUCCAAUUCUGCUGCUGCCUGCUGAGAAAUUGGCAGAUGAAACAUUGAGAACAAAUCCUGGGUUUGCAAAAACUCCCUGACAGAAACCUUAUCAUCCAAAACAAAAGAGAAAAGCCUUGGUAAUCUGAGGCUUAGUGGCCUUGAAGAGCCACCUACAUGGCAAGCAUCCAGCCAAAAGAGAGCAGAAUCACCCAUAUUAACUGGCACUGAAGCAAUUGACCUAUAAGUGUCAGCAAGCUUGAGAAUGUCCUUCCACCAAAAGGAGCCAGUUAGGACUGUUGCAUGGGGCACCACUCCAUCAUAAUAACUAUCCCAAAUCAACUGGACCCAAGGAAUCUGCUGUUUGUUGUAGAACUUAUGCAUUUGUUUGAGAAGCAGACCUUGAUUUUGAACAUUGAGGUUGAGAAUGCCAAGUCCUCCCUUAUCCUUUGGUCUGCAAACUAAAUCACAGGCAGCUAGGGAUUGCUUAGGCACAUCAGAAUUUCCUCUCCACAAACACUGCCUGAAAAUCCUAUCCAACUGUUUGAUAAUACCAGGUGGGAUAUGCAAGCUGCAGAGGAAGUAUAUGGGCAUUGAAGUAAGCACAGAUGUGAGAAAUUGUAACCUGGAUCCUUGGUUGAGCAUGGCAGAGCUAACAGACAGUCUUCUUUCAAGACUAUCCACUAAAGGCAUGAAAUCAAUGAUUCUAGGUCUUGUUGUACCAAGAGGCAAACCCAGAUAUGUGAAAGGUAACUGCUCCGGUUUACAUCCCAGGAUGGAAGACAACCUCUGUGCCUCUGUGGGAUCAACAUUUAGUGGCACCAUUGAAGACUUUCCAAAAUUUACCUUUAGGCCAGUAGACUGUUGGAAAAUAUGGAGCAUGUUCUUGAGAGCCACCAACUGGUCCUGUACUGCAGAAAGGAUAAUUAUUGUGUCAUCUGCAUACUGAAUGAUAGGAAAUUCAGGGUCCUAAGAUGGGAUUGGAAGUGUUAGAACUCCCUUAGCCAGCAUGUUAUUGACCAUUGUUUGAAGAAGAUCGGCAGCUAUGACAAAUAAAAGAGGGGAUAGGGGAUCCCCCUGCCUGACCCCACAUUUAUAUUUGAACUGUUUGCCAGGCACCCCAUUAAGCAAAACAGAUGAUGAUCCUGAGGAGAGAAUCUCUUUAAUCCAAGAAAUCCAUUUGGCAUCAAAACCUUUGUGCUGUAGAACUUGCAAGAUGAAGUCAUGCUCCACAGUGUCAAAAGCUUUGGCAAAAUCCAAUUUCAAAAUGAUGGUUGGCCUUUUGGAUUGAUUGCAUUGAUGUAUAUAUUCAAAAGCCCAAGCCAGGCAGUCCUGAAUGGCUCUGCUCUUCAAAAACCCAUAUUGAUUCUUAUGGAUGCAUUGCAGAAUGACCUUUUGAAGCCUAUUUCCCAAAAGCUUAGUAAGGAACUUGAGGCAUGUGUUAGUAAGAGAGAUUGGUCUAAAAUCCUCAAGUCCUUCAGGAGACAACAUCUUUGGAAUUAAGGUGAUAAGGGAUCCAUUAAUAUUUUCCAAAGAUAGCCUCCCAUCAUAAAACCCCUGAAUGAGAGCCAAGAAAUCCUUCUCAAUGAUGGGCCAACACUUCUUAACAAAAAGACCAUUAAAACCGUGAAAGUGAUGAUGAAGAUUCUCCCCCUAAUAAAUAUGAAUUGCCUGUUGUGCCUGAGGGCUAUGUUAUGGAUGAAGAAAUUGCUAAAGCUAUUUUUGUUUGCAAAGAUAGAUAUGAUCUUAAGAAGUUAUUAGCUAAAUGGAAGCAGCAAUCUCUUAAUGCUAGAAUGAAACCUGACCCUGCUUUUGCUACUUCACCUAUCUGUGUUACUGAUAAGGAUUAUGAAUUCUCUGUUGAUCCUGAUAUAAUUACUUUGGUUGAAUCUGAUCCUUUUCAUGGCUAUGAGUCUAAAACUGUUGUGGCACAUCUUACUAAAUUAAAUGAUAUAGCCACCCUAUUCACUAAUGAUGAGAGAACUCGUUACUUUUAUAUCCUUAAAAUAUUCCUGUUCUCAUUAAAGGGUGAUGCUAAGAUAUGGUUUAAUUCUCUUGAUCCUGGUUGUGUGCGUAGUCCCCAGGAUAUGAUUUAUUACUUCUCUGCUAAAUAUUUCACUGCUCAUAAGAAACAAGCUGCUUUGAGGGAUAUAUAUAAUUUUGUGCAAAUUGAAGAAGAGAGUCUCCCACAAGCUUGGGGGAGGCUUCUCCAAUUACUUAAUGCUUUGCCUGAUCAUCCUCUUAAGAAAAAUGAAAUAUUGGAUAUAUUUUAUAAUGGACUAAGUGAUGCUUCCAGAGAUUACCUGGAUAGUUGUGUUGGUUCUGUUUUCAAGGAAAGAACACCGGAUGAAGCUGAAAUUCUAUUGAAUAAUAUGUUGACAAAAGAAAAUAAUUGGACACUUCCUGAGCCAGCUCCUGAGCCUAUUCCUAAACCAACUCCGAAGAAGAGGGGUAUUCUAUUUCUCAGUCCUGAAGAUAUGCAAGAGGCAAAGAAAUCCAUGAAAGAAAAGGGUAUUAAAGCUGAAGAUGUUAAGAAUUUACCUCCUAUUGAAGAAAUACACGGUCUUAAUUUACCGCCUGUUGAAGAAACAUAUGAUCUUAAUCCAUUACCUAUUGAAGAAAUACAUGGUCUUGAUAACCCGACACAAGUAGUAAAGGUAAACUCUCUCUAUAGAUAUGAUAAAAUUGAAAUCCCUCUUACUAAGUUUGCUAGCCAAUGCUUAGAUGAGUUUGAUAAUUUUAUGGUGAAGCAAGAAGAUUUUAAUUCUUAUUUUGGUAGACAAUUGAAAUACAAUUCAAAUAUGCUUGAACACUUGGGUGAUUAUAUGGCUAAUGUUAAAGGUGAAAUUAAACUUAUUAGCAAACAUGCUUCUAUGGUUACCACUCAAGUAGAACAAGUACUUAAAGCUCAAAAUGAUUUGCUCAAUGAACUGAAUAGUAAGAAUAAUGAUAAUGCUGUUAGAGUUAUGACUAGAGGUGGUAAAAUGACUCAAGAACCUUUGUAUCCUGAAGGCCAUCAUAAGAGAAUUGAGCAAGAUUCUCGGAGAAAUAAUAUAGAUGCACCUAGUUCUUCUAAAAGGAAGAAAAAGAAAAAUGAUAGGACUUUGCAUGCUUCUAGUGAACCUAUUGAUGAAACACCUGAGAAUCCAAAUGAUAUUUCUAUUUCUGAUGCUGAAACACAAUCUGGUAAUGAACCUGAAACUAGUGAUAAUAUUAAUGAUAAUGUUCAUGUUGAUGCUCAACCUAGCAAUGAUAAUGAUAUAGAAAUUGAACCUGUUGUUGAUCUUGAUAACCCACAAUCAAAGAAUCAACGUUAUGAUAAGAGAGACUUUGUUGCUAGGAAACAUGGUAAGGAAAGAGAGCCUUGGGUUCAGAAACCCAUGCCUUUUCCUCCCAAACCAUCCAAGAAAAAGGAUGAUGAGGAUUUUGAGCACUUUGCUGAAAUGAUUAGACCUACCUUUUUGCGUAUGCGAUUAACUGAUAUGCUUAAAAUGAAUCCUUAUGCUAAGUACAUGAAAGAAAUUGUUACUAAUAAAAGAAAGAUACCGGAAGCUGAAAUUUCCACCAUGCUUGCUAAUUAUACUUUUAAAGGUGGAAUACCUAAGAAACUAGGAGAUCCCGGAGUACCAACUAUACCAUGCUCCAUUAAAAGAAAUUAUGUUAAAAUUGCUUUAUGUGAUCUUGGAGUCGGUGUUAGUGUUAUGCCUCUCUCUUUAUAUCAUAGACUUGAUUUGAAUAAGUUGACACCUACUAAAAUAUCUUUGCAAAUGGCUGAUAAAUCAACUGCUAUACCUAUCGGUAUUUGUGAGGAUGUGCCUGCUGUGGUUGCAAACGUUACUAUUUUAAUGGACUUUGUUAUUCUUGAUAUUCCCGAGGACGAUAGUAUGUCUAUUAUUCUUGGAAGACCCUUUUUGAAUACUGCAGGGGCUGUUAUUGAUUGCAACAAAGGCAAUGUCACUUUUCAUGUUAAUGGUAAUGAGCAUACGGUACACUUUCCGAGGAAACAACCUCAAGUCCACAGUAUCAAUUCUAUUGGAAAAAUUCAAUCGAUUAUUUUUGAAGGUUUUGAAUUUCCUCUUCCUACUGUCAAAAGAAAUAUGAUAUUCUUAUUAUUGGGGAUGUGCAUAUCCCCGUUGAGGUAACAUAGUGUUAUUCGAAAUUCCUCCGGUUCCAUGUUAUUCGGAAUGAGUUUGCUAACAAGACUUGAUCAACCAUGUUAACGGAUUCCUUUUGAUGAGCAUGAGAUGGAUGAAACUAGAAGGCACAACUCUCCGUACCCUCCUUUUACUUUCUGUUAUUUAUAUUAAAUAAAAUUAAAAGAAGUAUUUUCCGUCUGUUAUCUGAUUUAUCCGUGCAAUAUAAAAUACCCCGAAAAUAAAAGUUCUCCAAAUGCCUUGAAAUUUAAAUAUGAUUUUUUCUGGAAUAUUUGAGAAUAUUUGGCACUAAGAACACAACACAGGGGGCAUCCACCUGGCCACGAGAGUGGAGGGCGCGCCCUACCCCCCCUGUGCGUGCCCCUUGCCUCGUGGGCCCACGGUGGCCCUCCUCCACUUAUUCCUGCACCCACACACUCCUUCCUCCCAUAAACACGAUUAUCCAGUUCGAACCCAAGUCCAAGCUCAUUUUGCUGCUAUUUUCGAUCUCCUUGCUCAAAGCACCUCUCACAAAACUGCUUGGGGGGAUUGUUCCUUGGUAUGCGACUCCUCCAUUGGUCCAAUUAGUUUUUGUUCUAGUGCUUUAUUCAUUGCAAAUUUAUGUUGUCUAGGUGCCCAUGUUCCUGAGCUUGCAUGUCAAAUUUAUGUGGUUCCAACUAGUUUUGAUGCAUGAUAUAGGCUCUAGGCACUUGUAGGAGUUGUUGCUAUCAAUUUUGUUGAGCUUGGCUCACUUUUAUUUGAAGUUACUAAAAAUUUCAGAAUUUUUCAGAAAAUAAUGAAGAGAUUUUUGAGGGGCUCAUCAAGCCGAAGCUCGAAGGAAAAGCAAAAUGAAAAAGCAGAGAGGCCCGAAUAUAAUCUGCCUCGCACCGCAGAGGUUCGGCCGUGUGAAUGGCCUUCCAAUGAUUUCUUGAGAGCAGUCGGGAUUUAUGAUGAUUUUUAUGAAUUGGCUGAGAAUGUAGGCCUCACCGCCUUCCUCCAUGACCAACGCGAACAAUAUCUCUUACUCACCAAUAUCUUUGUGCAAAACUUUCAUUUCCAUGCUAGGAGCUCACCACCUACGGUGGAGUUUUAUUUGUAUGAUGAGCACAAGGAGAUGUCACUUUACGAUUUCUGUCGGGUUUGAUUGAUCCCUUUCGAGGGCACAAUAGAGGAACCACACCGCGGUGAUGUGGAUGGGUUUAUAGAUACCAUCACUGUAGGGGAAACGAGGAAGGUUUCCGAUGCACGAAUCACUAGCAUACAUUUUCCUGUUUUACGCUACUUUGCAAUAUUUGCUAGUCGUUGCUUAAUUGGUCGCGAAAACUGUGGAAACCUUAGUGUUCCUGAUAUUAUUAUUUUGUUCCACGGUUUAUUCUGUGAUAAAUCUGUUAGUAUGGGCGGUAUUAUUGCUAAACGGUUAAGUCUCAACUGUACAAAGGGCCCCAUCUUUGGAGGCAUCUAUGCUUCACGCCUAACUGCGCAUUUUAACAUACCUAUUAAGCAUUAUGAGAAGGAAGAAAAAUUGCUGCCCCUGUUUAUUUAGAUUAUAAGAGUAUGGUGGCACACGAUUUUAUUGUUAAGAAUAGGAAAGGGGAGCUUAAAUACAAAUUGUUCUUUGAUAAACAUCAUCCUGAGACUAUUACCCUGCCUACUCCUUCCUUGUUUGAUUUAUCUCCAGGCAAGUACCUUGUUCCGUUAGAGGCUAUUCACGCCUACCGGAACAUUGCAUCAGCCACAGAGCCAGAGUCGGAACCACUAGUUGAUCCUCCACGACAGUCUAAUUACCAUUGGGAUCCAGAAAUGAUAGCCACCAGUGGAAAUCAGAGUCUUCUUCGCAGUACGACCCCAACUAUUACUAUGGAUAUCCGCCAGGCCAGCCGUGGCCAUAGACCAACUUAGGUCAAAAGCCUAAACUUGGGGGAGUACGUAUUUCCCGCCGACAUUACAUUCAUGUUCGCACACUCAUUGCUAGAUGUCGGUGCUCAUACUUUUUCAUUGUAUCAUCCAUGCUAGUUCAUUUCCUUUUUAAGCUUUCUUCUUGUGUGUUUAAUAAACCUUAAGAAAAACCAAAAAAACUAGUUGUAGCUUUUAGCUAGUUUUAAUUUCCAUGCUUGUAGUAGUAAUUAAAAAGAAAACCCAAAAAAAGAUUUCUUGUUCUUGUUUUGCUCGUUGGGAGCUUUCCCGUGUAAAUAGUUUUAUUUCUUUUCUUUGGGGGUCGAUAGGAGAAUACCAUGAUUAAAUUGUUGAAGUGGCUCUUAUAUAUAUUUUUUAUCUGACAAAAGAGCCCAUAUUGCCUUGUCUUCUCCAGUUUAUUGAAUGCUUGCAGAUUCCAGCUUAGUCCAAUGCACGCGCACUAUUAUUAUUAUCCACAUCGUUCGGUCGUGCAAGUGAAAGGCAAUUAUGACAAUAUAUGAUGGACUGACUGAGAUGAGAAAAGCUGGUAUAAACUCAACCUCUCUUGUUUUUGUAAAUAUGAUUAGUUCAUCGUUCCUGAUUCAGCCUAUUAUGAAUAAACAUGUUUGCAAUGACAACUAGAGAUCAUAGUUUCUUGUGCCAUGCUUGAUUAGCUAGGAGCUUAUAAUGGUUUACCUUGCGUGCCAACAUGCUAUUAAAAUGGUUGUGAUGUGGUAUGAUAGGGUGGUAUCCUCCUCUGAAUGAUUUGAGUGGCUUGACUUGGCACAUGCUCACGCAUGUAGUUGAAAUAAAAUCAACAUAUCCUCUACGAUAUUUAUGUUCAUGGGGAAUUAUAUCCUACUCAUGCUUGCAUUUGGUGUUGAUUAAUUUUAAUGCAUGUUUAUGAGUGUUGUCGCUCUCUAGCUGGUUGCUUCCCAGUCUUUUGCUAGCCUUCACCUGUACUAAGCGGGAAUACUGCUUGUGCAUCCAAUCCCAUAAACCCCAAAGUUAUUCCAUAUGAGUCCACCAUACCUACCUAUUUACGGUAUCUACCUGCCGUUCCAAGUAAAUUUGUAUGUGCCAAACUCUAAACCUUCAAAUAAAUAUCAUGUUUUGUAUGCUCGAAUAGCUCAUGUAUCAACUAGGGCUGUCUGUAUCUUCCAUGUUAGGCGGGUUAUUCUCAAGAGGAGUGGACUCCGCUCCUCACUCACGAGAAAAUGGCUGGUCACCGGGAUGCCCAGUCCCAUGCUUUAUGCAAAUCAAAUCAAAAUAAUUGCAAACAAAACUCUCCCUAGGACUCUUGUUAGUUGGAGGCACUCGUUGUUUUGAGCAAGCCAUGGAUUGAUGCUUGUUAGUGGAAGGGGAGUAUAAACUUUACCAUUCUGUUUGGGAACCGCCUAUAAUGUGUGUAGCAUAGAAUAUAUCGCCCUCUCUUGGUUGUUAUGUUGACAAUGAAAGUAUACUGCUCAAAAUAUUAUUCACCUCUAUUUCAAAACCGAGCUCUGGCACCUCUACAAAUCCCUGCUUCCCUCUGCGAAGGGCCUAUCUAUUUACUUUUAUGUUGACUCAUCAUCCUCUUAUUAAAAAUCACAAGUUGGAGAGCACCGCUGUCAUUUGCAUUCAUUACUGUUAGUUUACAUUGAGUAUGACUGGACUGGAUCUCUUUUACCAUGAAUUACAAUGUCUAGUCAGUCCUUGAUCUUUAAAGGUGCUCUGCAUUUAUGUUUUGCGGUCUCAGAAAGGGCUAGCGAGAUACCAUCUUGUUAUAUCAUAUCAUGAUUGUUUUGAGAAAGUGUUGUCAUCUGAGAUUUAUUAUAUUGCUCGCUAGUUGAUUAUGCCAUUGAUAUGAGUAAACAUGAGACCUAAAUGUUAUUGUGAAUAUGGUUAGUUCAUAAUCUUUGCUGAAAACUUGAAUGCUGGCUCUACAUAUUUACAACAACAAGAGCAAACAGAGUUUGUAAAAGUUUUUCUUUAUCACUUUCAGCUUAUCAACUGAACUGCUUGAGGACAAGCAAAGGUUUAAGCUUUGGGCAGUUGAUACGUCUUCGUCGUAUCUACUUUUCCAAACACUUUUGCCCUUGUUUUGGACUCUAACUUGCAUGAUUUGAAUGGAACUAGCCCGGACUUACGCUGUUUUCAGCAGAAUUGCCAUGGUGUUAUUUUUGUGCAGAUAUAAAAGUUCUCGGAAUGACCCGAAAAUCAACGGAGAAUUAUUUUGGAAUACAUAAAUAAUACUGGAAGGAAGAUCCACGUCAGGGGGGCCUCCACCUGUCCACGAGGGUGGGGGCGCGCCCUACCCCCCUGGUGCUACCUCUUGAGCACUGCGUUGGUUUUCCCUUGAAGAGGAAAGGGUGAUGCAGUAAAGUAGCGUAAGUAUUCCCCUCAGUUUUUGAGAACCAAGGUAUCAAUCCAGUAGGAGAUCACGCUCGAGUCCCACGCACCUACACAACCAAAUAAGAACCUCGCAACCAACGCGAUAAAGGGGUUGUCAAUCCCUUCACGGUCACUUACGAGAGUGAGAUCUGAUAGAUAUGGUAAGAUAAUAUUUUGGUAUUUUUAUGAUAAAGAGAAAUAAAGAUGCAAAGAAAAAUAAACGGCAAUAGAAAUAACUAAGUAUCACCUGGGCGCACCCCCUGCCUCGUGGGCCCCCUGACGCUCCACCAACCUCAACCCUGACUUCAUAUAUUCACUUUCGGGGAGAAAAAACCAGAGAGAAAGAUUCAUCACAUUUUACGAUACGGAGCCGCCGCCAAGCCCUAAACUCUCUCGGGAGGGCUGAUCUGGAGUCCGUUCGGGGCUCCGAAGAGGGGAAUCCAUCGCCAUCAUCAUCAUCAACCUUCCUCCAUCACCAAUUUCAUGAUGCUCACCGUCGUGCGUGCAUAAUUCCAUCGUAGGCUUGCUGGACGGUGAUGGGUUGGAUGAGAUUUAUCAUGUAAUCGAGUUAGUUUUGUUAGGGUUUGAUCCCUAGUAUCCACUAUGUUCUGAGAUUGAUGUUGCUAUGACUUUGCUAUGCUUAAUGCUUGUCACUAGGGCCCGAGUGCCAUGAUUUCAGAUCUGAACCUAUUAUGUUAUCAUCAAUAUAUGAGCGUUCUUGAUCCUAUCUUGCAAGUCUAUAGUCACCUACUAUGUGUUAUGAUCCGGCAACCCCGAAGUGACAAUAAUCGGGACCACUCCUGGUGAUGACCGUAGUUUGAGGAGUUCAUGUAUUCACUAUGUGUUAAUGCUUUGGUCCGGUACUCUAUUAAAAGGAGGCCUUAAUAUCCCUUAGUUUCUGCUAGGACCCCGCUUCCACGGGAGGGUAGGACAAAAGAUGUCAUGCAAGUUCUUUUCCAUAAGCACGUAUGACUAUAUUCGGAAUACAUGCCUACAUUACAUUAAUGAAUUGGAGCUAGUUCUAUGUCACCCUAGGUUAUGAUUGUUACAUGAUGAACCGCAUCCGACAUAAUUCUCUAUCACUGAUCCAUUGCCUACGAGCUUUCCAUAUAUUGUUCUUCGCUUAUUUACUUUUCCAUUGCUAUUGCUAUCAUCACUACAAAAUACCAAAAACAUUACUUUUGCUAUCGUUACCUUUUGCUGCCGUUACCACUACUAUCAUAUUACUUUGCUACUAAACACUUUGCUGCAGAUAUUAAGUUUCCAGGUGUGGUUGAAUUGACAAGUCAGCUGCUAAUAGUUGAGAAUAUUCUUUGGCUCCCCUUGUGUUGAAUCAAUAAAUUUGGGUUGAAUACUCUACCCUUGAAAACUGUUGCGAUCCCCUAUACUUGUGGGUUAUCAUUGCUCCUGCAGCGGGUCUUGCACAUAGCGGUGCUUCCAGGACGUAAUUCUUCUGUGUAGCAAUGAGGAUAAUCCUCAAGUUACGGACCUAGUCCAUGUAGUUGCUACCAUCAUCUUUCAACUUAGGUUUCUCUACGAACGCAUUAAAAUUCAAAGGGACAUUAGCACGGGCCAUUGAUCUACAACAACAUAGACAUGCAAACUACUAUCAGGUGCUAAGUUCAUGAUAAAUUAAAGUUCAAUUAAUCAUAUUACUUAAGAACUCCCACUUAGAUAGACAUCCCUCUAGUCAUCUAAAUGAUCACGUGAUCCAUAUCAACUAAACCAUGUCCGAUCAUCUCGUGAGAUGGAGUAGUUUCAAUGGUGAACAUCACUAUGUUGAUCAUAUCUACUAUAUGAUUCACGCUCGACCUUUCGGUCUCAGUGUUCCGAGGCCAUAUCUGCAUAUGCUAGGCUCGUCAAGUUUAACCCGAGUAUUCUGCGUGUGCAAAACUGGCUUGCACCCGUUGUAUGUGAACGUAGAGCUUAUCACACCCGGUUAUCACGUGGUGUCUCGGCACGACGAACUAUAGCAAUGGUGCAUACUCAGAGAGAACACUUGUACCUUGAAAUUUAGUGAGAGAUCAUCUUAUAAUGCUACCGCCGUACUAAGCAAAAUAAGAUGCAUAAAGGAUAAACAUCACAUGCAAUCAAAAUAAGUGAUAUGAUAUGGCCAUCAUCAUCUUGUGCCUUUGAUCUCCAUCUCCAAAGAACCGUUAUGAUCACCAUCAUCACCGGCUUGACACCUUGAUCUCCAUCGUAGCAUCGUUGUCAUCUCGCCAACUAUUGCUUCUACGACUAUCGCUACCACUUAGUGAUAACGUAAAGCAAUUACAUGGCGAUUGCAUUUCAUACAAUAAAGCGACAACCAUAAGGCUCCUGCCAGUUGCCGAUAACUUUUACAAAACAUGAUCAUCUCAUACAACAACUUAUAUAUCAUCACGCAAAAACAAGUUAGACGUCCUCUACUUUGUUGUUGCAAGUUUUACGUGGCUGCUACAGGCUUCUAGCAAGAACCGUUCUUAUCUACGCAUCAAAACCACAAUGAUUUUUCAUCAAGUGUGUUGUUUUAACCUUCAACAAGGACCGGGCGUAGUCAAACUCGAUUCAACUAAAGUUGGAGAAACAGACACCCAGUAGCCACCUGUGUGUGAAGCACCUCGAUGGAACCAGUCUCAUGAACGCGGUCAUGUAAUGUCGGCCUGAGCUGCUUCAUCCAACAAUACCGCCAAAUCAAAGUAAGACGUUGCUGGUAAGAAGUAUGACUAUUAUCGUCCACAACUCAUUGUGUUCUACUCGUGCAUAUAACAUCUACGCAUAGACCUGGCUCGGAUGUCAUUGUUGGGGAACGUAGUAUUUCAAAAAAAAUCAUACGAUCACGCAAGAUAUAUCUAGGAGAAGCAUAGCAAUGAGCGGGGAGAGUGUGUUCACGUACCCUCGUAGACCGAAAGCGGAAGCGUUUAGUAACACGGUUGAUGUAGUCGAACGUCUUUGCGAUCCAAUCGAUCCAAACACCAAACGUACGACACCUCCGCGUUCAGCACACGUUCAGCUUGAUGACAUCCCUCGAGCUCUUGAUCCAGUUGAGGCCGAGGGAUAGUUCCGUCAGCACGAUGGCGUGGCGACGGUGAUGAUGAAGUUACCGGCGCAGGGCUUCGCCUAAGAACUACGACGAUAUGACCGAGGUGUGUAACUGUGGAGGGGGGCAACGCCCACGGCUAAGAGAAACUUGUGUCUUUGGGGUGCCCCCCUCCCACGUAUAUAAAUGGGGGGAGGAGGCCGGCCCAAAGGGGGGCGCGCCACAUGUUGGGGGUCCUACUAGGACUCCCUAGUCCUAGUAGGAUUCCCCUCUCCUUUCCUUUUACGGAAGGGGGAAAGGGGGGAAGGAGAGGAGGGGAAGAGGGAAAGGGGGCACGCCCCCUCCCCUUCCUAUUCGGACUCCACUUGGGGGGACGCGCACGCCUCCCCCUUGUGGGUUGUACCCUCUUCUCUCCCAUGGCCCAUAAGGCCCAUGAUUUCCCCCGGGGGGUUCCGGUAACCUCCCGGUACUCCAGAAAAAUGCUCGAAUCACUCGGAAUCAUUCUGAUGUUUGAAUGCAACCUUCCAAUAUAUGAAUCUUUACCUCUCGACCAUUUCUGUGAUCUCAUCCGGGACUCCGGACAAACUUCAGUCAUCAAAUCACAUAACUCAUAAUACAAAUUGGCACGAACGUUAAGCAUGCGGACCCUAUGGGUUUGAGAACUAUGUAGACAUGACUGAGACACAUCUCCGGUCAUUAACCAAUAGCGGAACCUGGAUGCUCAUAUUGGCUCCUACAUAUUCUACGAAGAUCUUUAUCGGUCAAACCGCAUAACAACAUACGUAGUUCCCUUUGUCAUAUGUAUGUUAUUUGCCCGAGAUCCGAUCGUCGGUAUCCCCAUACCUAGUUCAAUCUCGUUACCGUCAAGUAUCUUUACUUGUUCCGUAAUGCAUCAUCAUGUAACUAACUCAUUAGUCACAUUGCUUGCAAGGCUUAUAGUGAUGUGCAUUACCGAGAGGGCUUAGAGAUACCUCUCUGAUACACGAAGUGGCAAAUCCUAAUCUCGAUCUAUGCCAACUCAACAAACACCAUCAGAGACACCUGUAGAGCAUCUUUAUAAUCACCCAGUUACAUUGUGACGUUUGAUAGCACACUAAGUGUUCCUCCGGUAUUCGGGAGUUGCAUAAUCUCAUAGUCAUAGGAACAUGUAUAAGUCAUAAAGAAAGCAAUAGCAAUAAAAUUAAACGAUCAUUAUGCUAAGAUAACGGAUGGGUCUUGUCCAUCACAUCAUUCUCUAAUGAUGUGAUCCCGUUCAUCAAAUGACAACACAUGUCUAUGGUUAGGAAACUUAACCAUCUUUGAUUAACGAGCUAGUCUAGUAGAGGCAUACUAGGGACACUCUGUUUGUCUAUGUAUUCACACAUGUACUAAGUUUCUGGUUAAUACAAUUCUAGCAUGAAUAACAAAGAUUUAUCAUGAUAUAAGGAAAUAUAAAUAACAACUUUAUUAUUGCCUCUAGGGCAUAUUUCCUUCAGGAAGAGCAUCGCGGGUGGGAGGGAGAAGGGGAAUUAAGAGAGUGUGGGUUUGGGUUUGGGCCUCCGCGUGCUAUGUGUACACAUGUGUUGGUGGGUCGAUAGUAGUGGUCCUGGGUUUAUACCCCACGCUACUACUAUGGCCUAUCCCGGGGGUACGGUAGAGACCGCUUAGUAGUAGCGAGGGAUUUAUACCCCUCACUACUACUAUCAACUUAGUAGUAGUGAGGGAUUUAUACCCCUCGCUACUACUAUCAACUUAGUAGUAGUGAGGGAUUUAUACCCCUCGAUACUACUAUGGCCAGUCCCGGGGGGCACGGUGGAGACCACUUAGUAGUAGUGUGGGGUUUAUACCCCUCGCUACUACUAUCAACUUAGUAGUAGUGUGGGUUCUAUACCCCUCGCUACCAAUAAUUAGCAGCAGUGUGGCCCAUAUACCCCUCGCUACGGUUAAGCAUCUAUCUAUAAAGUAUUUUCUAGUAGUGCAUCGAUGGCGGCGAAAUCAGUCGUUCUGCUUGUUUUCCCUACUAGCUCUCUGACGUCCAGAACAAGUUUACGGUCAUAAGGUGCAAUAACCUUGCCUUCAUGAGUGACACGAUGACACGGGAACAGGCUUCCAAGCCUAUGGUGUCGCAUCAUGUCGUGGUCUGCUAGACUUAGUGGACGAAUGCUACUACAAUAUCGGUUGAUCUCAUACUACAAUACCAAGGAAGACACGCAACUACUAUAUAUAUUUCUUCAAGUCAGUCAACACAAGUAAAAUCUGGGAGUUCAACUGGUGCAGCUAUGCAAUGCUAAUGGAGACAACACAAUUCAACUUUAGCACUUCACACAUAAGCAACACCACGUUCAAUGGCACACACCUUAGAGUGUACCUAUGGUGGUUGAUUGGGCUAUAAGAAAUGUGAGUCCAUGUGAAGAUGCCAAAUAUAAUAACACGGCUAAUUACACAUGCAGUGGCAGCAGCAACAAGUGCAUGAAUUCCACAAAUGAUCUAGGGUACACAUGCAACUGUGUCCUUGAGUAUGACAACAACCCUUAUCUUCUAGACAAAUGCAUGGUAUGCUACUAAUUUAUUUGCUAAAUAUUCCAAUGAAUUGUGUCCUUUACUUUGUACAUACCCAAUUAUAAUAUUUUAUUUUGCUAAUACAAUGUAGCCUUCAAUUUAAACCAAGGUUUGCAUCCAUUAAUUAUGUUAGGUUCAUAUGACUUCACUACAUAAAUAGGUAGAUAAUGCAUAAGACUGAGAUUGUAGCUAGGGAUGAAAAUCUAAAUACGGCAUGAAUCUAACAAUUAUGAGUAAUGUCUUUGUGACAAGAACUUUCUUUGUCUUUUAUUCCCAUGUUUGAACUAGUAUAGGUCAGGGUUACACAUUAUGGUGCACAUCACUUUAUUUGUCAUCGUUACAUUGAACACUCAUUGACUAAACAACGAUGAUCCAUCCGUCUUGUAUUACAGGUCUUCAUUUCAUUGGCCACCGAUGCUUGUAAGACUACUCCCAGAUGGUUGUUGUUGUGGAUAUGGUUGUUGAGGUUGGUGUGGUUGCUGGGGGAAUGGUUGUUGGGGUUGCUGGGAAAUUGUUUGUUCUAGUUGCUGGGAUAAUUGUUGUUGGGGCUGCAGAAAUGGUUGUUGUGGUUGUUGUGGUUGCAGGAUGGAGGGUUGCUGGGAAAAUGGUUGUUGCGGUCGUAGGGGGAAUGGUUGUUGUGGUUGUAGAGGGAAAGGUUGUUGUGGUUGUUGAGGGAAUGGUUGUUGUGGUUGUUGGGGGAAUGAUUGUUGUGGUUGCAGGGGGAAUGGUUGUUGUGGUUGCUGGGGGAANNNNNNNNNNNNNNNNNNNNNNNNNNNNNNNNNNNNNNNNNNNNNNNNNNNNNNNNNNNNNNNNNNNNNNNNNNNNNNNNNNNNNNNNNNNNNNNNNNNNNNNNNNNNNNNNNNNNNNNNNNNNNNNNNNNNNNNNNNNNNNNNNNNNNNNNNNNNNNNNNNNNNNNNNNNNNNNNNNNNNNNNNNNNNNNNNNNNNNNNNNNNNNNNNNNNNNNNNNNNNNNNNNNNNNNNNNNNNNNNNNNNNNNNNNNNNNNNNNNNNNNNNNNNNNNNNNNNNNNNNNNNNNNNNNNNNNNNNNNNNNNNNNNNNNNNNNNNNNNNNNNNNNNNNNNNNNNNNNNNNNNNNNNNNNNNNNNNNNNNNNNNNNNNNNNNNNNNNNNNNNNNNNNNNNNNNNNNNNNNNNNNNNNNNNNNNNNNNNNUGGUUGCAGAGGGAACGAUUGUUGGGUCUGGGGAAAUGGUUGUUGUGGUUGCCAGGAAAAUGGUUGUUGGGGCUGUGGAAAAGGUUGUUGUGGUUGUUGGGGUUGCUGGGGGAAUGGUUGUUGUGGUUGUAAGGGGGUCGGUUGUUGGGGUUGGGGAAAUAAUUGUUGUGAUUGCUGGGGAAAUUGUUGUUGGGGUGUGGAAAAUGGUUGUUGUGAUGGAUAUGGUUGCUGUGAUGGAUAUGGUUGUUGUGGAUAUGGCUGUUGUGGAAAUAGUUUUUGUUGAUGGGAAAAUGAUUGUUGAGGUGAUUGUAACUCUUUGUUGUUAGGGUUUAGUUGCCUAGCGGCAAUGGCGGUGUUCAUCGCCAUGGCAAGGAGGACAAAGAUGAGGAAGGUCUUCAUGUUGGAUUUGUGGUUACUACUGCUUGCUUGCCUUUGAUGCUUGUGGUCUAGGUGUGUGAAGUUUUGUUGAUGGAAGGUGUCCUUGGUGGUGCAUGUGUAUUUAUAGUUUUCAUGGCAUGGCUUGCUUUCAUCUUUGCACUCGCUCUUUGAAAAAGUGCAUCAAUGCUUAUCCAACUAAUCAUUUGGUUUGUUGUGUUUGGUGCAACUACUUACUAGUGAGAUUUUGGAUUUUCAUGAUAGUUGUUUUUUGUUGAAAUCAUCUGGUUGUAAGGAAUGUUGGAUAAUGACCAAUGACUCAUCUUCUUCACUUUACACUGCAAACAUUGAUCUAGAUUAUGUCCCUUUUUGAAAUUUAGUUUGUGGAGCUCUACAUGUUGUUAGGCUUAUCCAUAUUGGCAUAGCUUGAGUGGAGCUAAGUUUGUAAGCUUGUGUGCGCCAUUAUGAUGGAUCACACUAUUAAUGUGAUGAUUGUUUUACAAAUUAUCUUUCCAAAACUAACUUUAUGUUUUUUGCCCAAUAUGAUUCUAAGACGGAUAACCAGACAUGACUCAUCAAAUAACAAGAUAAACCGAGUAGCAAGUUGGGGGUUAUAAGUUAUAAUAUGGACUUUUCUCUAAGAUACACCAUCUUGUCUUGCAUGCUCUGUGGAUUUGAAAAGCAUCUACUAAUUUAGAUGCAAUUGAAACAAAAGUAGACUAAAAAGGUAAGCAAUGAAAUGAGAAUACUAUUAUGUGAAGCUCUACAUGUCUGGUAAGCAGUGAGAUACUGGAUACAUCUAUAUCUUCAAUCCUUUCAUCCCUAUCAACUCUUUAUUGGCUGCUUUUAUCGUAGUCAUCCCUUAAAUAAAAAUCACUUAAAUAUAAGUUUGGGAGUUAGUACCAACAUAUAUCAUGUACAAGAUAGAAAACUAAGGCACAUAUAGUAGUCUAUUGACCAUAUUUAAUUUCUUGUGAUGUGAAAGCAUGUGGAGUAUAAGUUGGUUAAAUAUAAAGUUGUCCUUCAUACCAGUAGGGAAAGAAUAUGCAGUAUAAAGAUUAGAGCAUUGGACUAAUAUGCUAUUAAAUGCUACAGGAUAAUUGACAGUUCAAGUUAAGAACAACAUUAGCAUUCCAACUUUUGUCUUGUGCAAGUUAAGAACAUGCUAACAAAGUAACCUAAGCAAAUAAGUGCAAAACCUUCACCUAUAAGGAAAUUGUGAAACUACACAAAAUGACCUAUUGUAAAGAAGGAAAAAAAUCUAAAGGUGAAUGAAAGAACGUUAAGUACAUUCAGGAUUCGAUUAUGCCUUCAUGGAUAACCUUUUAGAUGGUGACAUGUCCAUGUUGAUGUGUGUCGGCAUGGAACGAGGACAAGAAGACGUCGUUGCGUCGUACUUUGGGAAUUUCAUCAAACUGGUUGUGUGCGGGAACAAAUAUUUGUCGCCUCCCUGCUCAAAUCUCUCUUCAUGUCACUGAAUCCGACACUCCACCUACCAAAAUCAGCUGCAAGCCAGGGAUAAUCAACGGGUUUCUCCGCCCGUAGCAUCUAUCACCAAAAGUAGUUCAGACUAUAGUCUUGUAGUUCAAAAUUUUGUAAUAACAAGCACUACUAGGUUGCUUUUGUUUGUACGUCUUCAUUCUGUACAACCCAUGGAACUAAAAAUGCAUUGGUCAUUCUUUGUUCUAUACAACCAAUUCAACCAAAAAUGCAUUGGGCUUUUCUUUGUACAUCUUCGGGUUCUACAACCAAUGCAACAAAAAAUCCAUUGGGUAGUCUUCCAUUCUAGUCGGGCACCAACAGUUAAAUGAGGAGCUAAACAAUGUUGGAGUCUAAAACUACAUACAAUCAUGAAGCAUAGAGAGGCGACUUGGAAGCUGUGCUCCUGUGAGCUCGUAUUUUUGUAGACAAAAAGUAAUGUUUGUAUUUUGAAGUGGGAAAAAAUCCUAAAAAGGGAUGUUUUGCGGGUUAUAACUUACUAUUUUUGGGUCCUGGGCUGCAGGAAGGUCGUCAAAAUCAAUGUGUUUUCCCAUUCAAUGCAUGUUUCUUGGGUUAUAGGUCACGCUUUUGGUGUCCUAGGGAGAUCACUUCCCCGGUCAAGAACAUUAGGUGAUGAUUUUUAGAAAAACUCAUUGUUUUAGCCUAACUAGUUUCGAGGAUUGGUGGACGGGAUUAUCAUGGAACAAAGUGACAACCUUCCUUUUCUUCAUGCCUAAUAUAAACUUAGCAGUCAGCUAAAAGUAACUAGCGAUAUCACAGAAUGUUUUUUGUCAAAAGUAGAUACCACUUCAGGAUUCAACUCGGUUAGUUCAAUCACAGACAUGUUAAGAGCAGGAUUUACAACUAACUGCAUAGGGAACAUCUCCUUUUAUCACCCACUAUCUGUCUGUGCACUUUGGUUUUCCCGUAGCAUCACACAAAGCACUUUGUUAGUACCAAUAAUGUGCUCCAACUCUACACAUUAAUCAUCUUGAAUUCUUCUACUGAUGUCGAACAAUGUAAUAUCUUGAAUUCUUCUAACGAGUUCGGAUUAGACUACAUGGGCAAUUUAUCUGGUCCCUGAGAUGCAAGGUCGAUGAACAAUCGCUUCGUCUUAUGACGAGGGGUUGUUUUUGCCUAAGAAACUAAUACAUGUAACUUCGACACCGGAUUAAUAAAUGGUAAAACCUAAAUAAAUUAGAUCACGAGCUAAACCAUUUACUUUUGUAUGCAUUUAAACUUUUGAUACAUAUGAGCUUGUUAAGAUGUUCGCAUAAACACCAUGGUGAUUUGAAGCAAGACAAAGUAAACUUGAACCGCUUGAGCCACUGACUUAAUAAGAACCUCCUUUCCCGCGGCAGAGAUUGUUUUUAAUACAUCCACUCACUUUGGCCCAUAGUUUGUCUUUGAGAUACUUAAAAGCACUAGACAUAGAAUUGACAAUAUUAGAAGGCAAGCCCAAAUAUUUCACAUUUAGUGUUUCUACUUGGACACUGAGACCACCUUUGACCUCAUUUUUGACAUUCUCUCUGCAAUCCUUGCUGAGAAACACUGAAGGCUUCCUAUUUAUUUAUUCUUGACCUAAAGCUUCAUUGCGUCUUGCCUUGGUCUUGCACUACUUGCGGCACAAUACGCCUUUGGAACUGCCGUUCCGAAUUCAGAGUGCCGAAGGUGGUGUGACGAUGUUGAGAUACCGUACUCGUUCGGUAGUGAUUCGGGUUGAUCAUUCAGAGUAGACUUUGACAAUAGCUGCAAGGACAAGAUUGCAUUAGGGAGCCUUUUAAUUACACCUCGGAGGUGCUCAGCAUCUUCUUGAUGAACAACAUGGUCCUAGUGUUGAAUAAUAUCAUAUGGGGUAGUGCUACAACAACUCCACCACAAGCAUGGAGGAAUUUAGCAAAUUCCAUCAGUACUAGGAGAAAGCCUAGUAGCAACGCGAGGUAAAGGACUACUAGUAGCGCGGGUGCCCACGCUACUACUAGGGUGCUACAGCUAAUUGGUAGUAGUAGCGUGGGUGACACCCUGCGCUACUACCACGUCUGUUAGUAUAGUAGCGCGAGUGUCACCCGCACUACUACUAGUUAUCUGUAGCCCGGGUCUGACCCCACGCUACUACUAACUAAUUAGGAAUUAAAAAAAUAAAUUCCAUCCAUGGUUGCUGCUGCUGGGCGUCAUCGUCCUCUCCGUCCAUGGCUGAUGUUGGUCCUGGAGGGGAUGACGUCGUCCAUGGUGAUGGUACUUCCUCACCCAAAUCGUCCCCACACCUCUCCUAUGCUACUGCUACAAAAUAAGAGAAAACGAUUAGAAGAGGAAGAGAGAUAUUGAGAGGAGUAGGAGGAGCAACUGACCGGUGGCCGCCGGAGUUGGAGCUGAUGCCCGAAACCCUAGACGAUGCCCGGUGACCUGUUGCUUCUUUUCCUGGGACCUCAUGUCCUCACAAGGCCAUGUCUCAGCGAGGAAGUGCAAGUGGUUGCGUAGCAGAUCUGUUCAUCGCCAUUGGUGGCGCUCUGUUGGAUCUUCCUCUCCUUCCAGCAUCGGAGAAGGAGGAGGAAGGAGGCGAAGGUGAGGCGUAAGUCAGUGGCCCAAAAUUUUUAUAUAGAUGAGACUUACUAAGUAAUAACCCCAUAGAAUCUAUCUAUAUAAAGAUAAAGAGGCAAUCGUGUCAGGAAGCGGGUUUUUCUUUGGCCAAAAGGUACUUAGAACUUGGAACGAGCAUGAAGAGAUUAACGAGACUUCUUUCUCUUUUGAGUUUUUCUGGCGGACCUGCCGCGCAAGAUCUUUGGUCUUCCCCUGGAACCGAUGAAAAAAAGUGGAUUGCUUCUUAUGUACUCGCUCAGCUUAAGAUGCUCGCAUAAUCCCCGUGGUAAUUUGAAGCAAUACAUAGAGUAAACUAGAACUGCUUGAGCCACUAACUUAAUGAGAACCUCCUUUCCCGUAGGAUAUAUCAUUUUUUCAAUCCAUCCAUUCACUUUGGCCCAUAGUAUGUCUUUGAGAUACUUAAAAGCAGUAGAUUAGAAUUACCAAUAUCAUAAGGCAAGCCCAAAUAUUUCUCAUUUAGUGUUUCUGUUGGACACUGAGAACACCUUUGACCUCAUAUCUAACAUUCUCUACACAACCCUUGCUGAGAAACACUGAAGACUUGCUAUUAUUUAUUCUUUGACCUGAAACUUGGCAAUAGGUUUGACACAUCUGUCGCCCCUGAACCAUUUGCCUUGAAAAACAGCAGGCUGUCAUCUGCAAAUAACAAGUGGUUAACUGAUGCCACCAAAGGAGCUACUUGGAUUCCAGUAAACUGGGAUGACUAGUCUCUAGAUUUGAGGAGGCCCGAAAGGCCAUGUACUGCUAACAGGAAAAUCAAGGUGAAUUGGAUCUUGCUGCCGUAUACCACGGGUAGGUUUGAGCUCAUCAAGUUUCUUGCUCUUGAAUAAAAUUGAAUAAGAUACAGAAGCUACCAUGCUCAUUUCUAUGGAGGCCCAUUUAACAGAGAAUCCAAAGUUGAGAUUUAUCACCUCCAAAUACGCCCAUUCAACUAGAUUAUAAGCCUUCAUCAUAUCCAAUUUUAGAGUACAAUGGUGAUGUUACAAUGACUUAUUCCUUUUCAUGAAAUGUAAGCACUCGUAGGCCACGAUUAUAUUGUCAGUGAUAAGGCGACCCGGAACAGAAGCCGACUCUUCACUCAAUAUUAUCUCCGGAAGGGCCCCUUUUAGCCGGUUAGCCAGAACUUUGGGUGUUAUUUGUAAAGUUGCAUAGGCUAAUACGACAGAACUGGCUUAGGAAAGUACCAUUUUGUACCUCAUCACUAUCCUCGCCACAAUACAAAGGACAACCAUUGUUACCUCCUCGCCGCAAAUAUCCCAAUGUUUCUCAAAGAAAUGUUCAAAGAAUCCGUCCGGGCCCAAGGCCUUCAUGCGGAACAUUUGAAACAAUACAAUUUAAACCUUGUUGUAGAAUACUUAGCGUCAAGGAAGGCAUUCAUCGCAUCACUGACCUUUACUGGAACCAAGUCAGGAAAUCAUGCAUAUUAGAAACAGUCUCAGAAGUGAAAAGCUCCGAGUAAAACUAUGUUGUGAUCUCUUCCAAUUCCUUAAGAACACUGAUAACAUCACAUUAGGUUGCUACAAUGAUUUGGUCAAAUUAUUCCGCCUUCUCAUCGAAGCCCUUAAGUGAAAGAAGCAUGUGGUCUUGUCCCCACUAAUCAGCCACUUAAUCUGAGAUCUAGUAGGCAAGAUGAGUGACGGGAAGUAGUUCGGAACAAUUUCCUCUUAUUCACUUCUAAAACAAAUUUUCGGUUUUUGUCGUUCCUAAGCCAAGGAUUUGAUAAAUAUUCAUAAAUUUUUAAAAUGUUCACCAAUAUUAAAAACAUCAUGAUUUUAAAAAACCGUGAUUUUUAAACAAAAUCAUAAAUAUGAAAAUUGCCAUUCACAAAAUUUUAAAAUAAAAUCAUGAAUUUUAAAAGAAUUUUCAAAAUUUUGAUAAAUAUCUACGAAUUUUACAACUUUGAUGAAUUUUAAAAACAAACCAUAACAAAAAAACACUAGCAAGUUCGAUCCUAAAAAAUGCCUUGCCUUCUACUAUGCGUAGCGUGCAUGGACAGCCGGACCUAGACACCCUAGACCAAAAACCCUACAUCUGGGCCAGGCCCGAGCUCCAUUUUUUGGCCCAAAGCCCAGCCCAAAAAGGCAGAAAUGGUAAGAAAUGUAUACUUUAUUCAAAAUAUAGGUAUAUUAUAUUGUUUUAGUAUCUCAAAUAAUUAUUUAAAUUGAAAAAUGUCGUUGUUCAUGUGUUUCUGGACGGGCCAAGCCAGGCUCAUGCUUGGGAUUUUUGCUUCGGGCUUUGACAACCUGGCCCGGGGUAUGAUCAAGUUCAGCAUGGCCCAGUCACACACCCUUGUACAACAUUUUGUUGUAGAGAGCGGCAAAUAUAAUUUUCCCGAUCUAAUAUUGCUCGCUAUAAGUCUAUAUCUAUACUUUUUUCUAUACCCAUACUAAUAAAGCAAGGUGCGUUUCCCCAAUUUUUUCAUUCAUUCACUGUCGAAAACAAUUAUGUUUCCUAUCCGAGGUGGUCCUAAAUUCUUAUGCGUUCAUCUGCUAAAAGAAAGGCUUUUCCGGAAUUUCUUACGUGGGUUGCGCGCUAUGGCCAGUGAAGUCAGCCCACUUAUUUUUCUGCCCAUGCAGCUCUAAAAAAUCUAUUUAACACACAGGGCAAGAAAUAGUCGGCACUUCAAACUGGAAAACAAAUAAUGGGCUAGCCAAUUUUUCUUUGUUUCUGUGUUUUAUUUCUAUUUUUAUUCUCCUUCCCCGAUUUCUUUUUUCACUUCCAAGUUUACAUUUCUUAUAGAAUUUAUUUUAUAAAUUCAAAAUUCUCAAAAAACAUAGAGAAUUUUAAAAAAAUGGAAAAUGUUCAUAACUCCAAUUUUUUUGCUAUUUAAAUUUUUUUCAGAACUUGAAUUUUUUCCCUUUUUCCGAAAAUUUUAUUGUUUUUUAAAAUUGUUAGAGAUUUCUAAAAAGAAAAUGGAAAUUUAAAAAGUCUUCCAAAUUCGAAAAAAAAUCAUGUUUUAGUGAAAUUUUCACAACUCAAAUUAUUCUUAAAAAAUACACAUUUUAAAAAGUAAGGAUUUUCAAUACAUGUUCCCGUUCUAAAAAAAUGUUGACAAAUUCAAAUAAUGUUCAUGUUUUUAUUUUAAAAGUUCGUGUUUUCAAAAAUGUUUGUAAAUUCUAAAAGAUGUUCCUAUUUCAUAUUUUGUUCAUGUUUUUCUGAAAGUGUACCUAAUUUUCAAAAAACUGUUCAGGAUUUAAAAAAUGGUUCAUGUUGCCUACAAUAUUGAGAAACUUCAUACCUUAAAAUCUCCUCGAUUGAAGGAACCAUAGAUUGAAUAAUUCAUGGGCCUUCUCUGGUGGACGAUGACGUAGCAAAACUCUUAAAUGCCCUCAAUCAAUGAAUGGAAAAAUAGCGAAUUGAGUACUUCACACCCAGCGAAACAAAGAAGCUAAAUGUUCCCUUUUUACGUGCGCACAGGGUUUUGCUUGCACAAAUAAUUCUCACUAACUUCCAAUGCAUACUAAUUUUUCUCCCAUUGCGAAGCACAAGCAUAUGUGCUAGUUUUAUCCACGGUGGUACUAAAUUUUUUUGAGUCCAUCUGCUAGAAAAAGGAAAAACAGUUUUGUCAAAAUUUUCGUACAUGGGCCGCGCGCGCUGUGGCCCAGCGAAGCUGGCCCAUUUAUUUCCGGCCGAAGCAGCUGAGAAUAAUUAUUUAACGCUUGGGGCGGCAAAUAGACAAAGUUUCGCAUAGGGCGCCAAAUAUUUGGUCGGCCCAUAUUUGUUUUCUCUCUAGUUUGUUUCUUUUUUUAUUUUCCUUUCUCCUUUUCUUAUCUCUUUACUUUUUCUUUUUUCCCUUUCAAGUUAAUUUUUCUUUUCUCCUUUUCCAUAAAUUAAAUUUUUCAAUAUUUCAGAAUUUUAGUUUUGGAUUAAAUUUUCGUAAAAUCUUCAUAAUUAUUUCUCCCCAUUUUGAAUUGUUUUUAAACUAUAAUUUUUUCUUCUUCUUCUUCCAAAAUUUAUUCAAAACUAUAGAAUAAAGUUCGCAUAUUAAUUUUUUUAUGCUUUCCAAAAUUGUUUGAUAUUUUCAAAAUAUAUUGCAUUAAAAAAUUAAAUAUUUAGAUUUUAUUGAAAUGUUAAUUCAAAGUAAUGUUUGUGUUUAAAAACAUGUUUUUCAAAAUUCUUUUCAAUGUCCAAAACACGUUUUCAUUUCCAAAAAAAAUCACGUAUUCAAAACAUGUUUGCUUUCUUAUAAUAGGUUCAUGUUUUCAAAAAACAUAAAUUUCAAAAAAAUUGUCACAUCUUAAAGAAUAUUCAAAAUAUCGUAAUUAUUACUUUAUUUUUUGAAAAAAAUCAAGAAAAACAGAAAAAAAAAUGUAUAUUAUGCUACAGUAUAUUCUUAAAAUUUCGCCCUCGCCAUUUGUUAGCAUGAGCUGUUUGUUCGAGUGGCUAGCAGCACGUGGUCGAGUUUUUGAGGUCAUGAGUUUGAUCCUUCAACUCAGUGGUUGUUUUGGAUUUUUAUUCACGCCUUACAAAUACAAGUCAUUUUGGUACCUGCCAGCGGCCUUGCCAGACUCGAACUGCCGUGCAUCCGACGUGCUAUUUGACGAUAAAAGAGAAUAUGUUGCUUGACUAUAAUUAAAAAAAUGUGGGCACAUGCCAAUAAAAGAGGAUAUGCUGGUUUGACUCUGAUUAAAAAAAUGUUGGCAAGUGAGCGUCGAAAUAAUUAAAGAGAAUAAACCCUGGUAAAGUAGGGACUACCUGGUUACGUGCUUAUUAUACCAAAGAAACGGGAUUUCCUGCAAUUAGUACUUCAACCGGUUACACCAUCAUAGGAGAGAGUAGUCGAAGCAACUAUGCCACGAAGGUCGCCGUGCUGCACAAAAUGAGGAGGCAACCGCAACCUAGACACGGAGGCAGACUCGGAGAAAAAAAAGCGCAAGUUGGGUGGUGGCCACCACUCCAGCAACCCCAUCAAUAUCAAGAACUCGUGGGCCAAACAUGAUCUCAAGAACAUCGCCGGGGAGACCUUUUGAUGGACACAUCAAUUAUCUCUCCUGAUACUUCUCGUUAAAAAUAUCUUUCUAGUUCUAACGCACGGGCAUAUGUGCUAGUGAUAUAUAAAAUAUGUUGUGCCAAUGAGCACACGGGCUAGCGAGACUCGCCAUGCUUUCAUGUCAUACCGGAGUCCAAACACUCAACUGGAGGGUCCAACCUUAGCGACAGAGUCUUCUUUUGUUGGGAGAAUCUAUAUAUCCGCGAGUGUUAUAUCUCGCAUCUGGUUUACGCGCAGUGCACCUAACCACUAGGCUUUGCCUUACAUUCAUGACAGAGUAGUAAAGCUAGAUUGUUUAAGUCCACACGAGUCAAGGUUUUCAAUGUUUCUUCUCCAUUUUUUUUCAUUUUUUCAUUUUUGUUUUUAUAUUUAUUUCUGUCGGGUUUGUUUGAUCCCUUUCGAGGGCAUAAUAGAGGAACCACACCGUGGUGAUGUGGAUGGGUUUAUAGAUACCAUCACUGUAGGGGAAACGAGGAAGGUUUUCGAUGCACGAAUCACUAGCAUACAUUUUCAUGUUUUACGCUAAUUUGCAAUAUUUGCUAGUCGUUGCUUAAUUGGUUGCGGAAACUGUGGAAACCUUAGUGUUCCUGAUAUUAUUAUUUUGUUCCACGGUUUAUUCUGUGAUAACUCUAUUAGUAUGGGCGGUAUUAUUCCUAAAUGGUUAAGUCUGAACUGUACAAAGGGCCCCAUCUUUGGAGGCAUCUAUGCUUCACACCUAGCUGCGCAUUUUAACAUAGCUAUUAGGCAUUAUGAGAAGGAAGAAAAAUUGCUACCCCCUGUUUAUUUAGAUUAUAAUAGUAUGGUGGCACAUGAUUUUAUUGUUAAGAAUAAGGAAGGGGAGCUUAAAUACAAAUUGUUCUUUGAUAAACAUCAUCCUGAGACUAUUACCCUGCCUGCUCCUUCCUUGUUUGAUUUAUCUGCAGGCAAGUACCUCGUUCCAUUAGAGGCUAUUCACGCCUACCGAAACCCUACAUCAGCCAUAGAGCCAGAGUCGGAACCACAAGUUGAUUCUCCAUGACAGUCUAAUUACCAUUGGGAUCCAGAAAUGAUUGCCACCAGUGGCAAUCAGAGUCUUCUUCGCAGUACGACCCCAACUAUUACUAUGGAUAUCCGCCAGGCCAGCCGUGGCCAUAGACCAACUUAGGUCAAAAGCCUAAACUUGGGGGAGUACGUAUUUCCCGCCGACAUUACAUUCAUGUUCGCACACUCAUUGCUAGAUGUCGGUGCUCAUACUUUUUCAUUGUAUCAUCCAUACUAGUUCAUUUCCUUUUUAAGCUUUCUUCUUGUGUGUUUAAUAAACCUUAAGAAAAACCAAAAACAUUAGUUGUAGCUUUUAGCUAGUUUUAAUUUCCAUGCUCGUAGUAGUAAUUAAAAAGAAAACCCAAAAAAAAGAUUUCAUGUUCUUCUUUUGCUUGUUGGGAGCUUUCCCGUGUAAAUAGUUUUAUUUCUUUUCUUUUCUUUGGGGGUCGAUAGGAGAAGACCAUGAUUAAAUUGUUGAAGUGGCUCUUAUAUGUAUUUUUGUUGAUCUGACAAAAGAGCCCAUAUUGCCUCGACUUCUCCUGUUUAUUGAAUGCUUGCAGAUUCCAGCUUAGUCCAAUGCACGUGCACUAUUAUUAUUAUCCACAUCAUUCGGUCGUGCAAGUGAAAGGCAAUUAUGACGAUAUAUGAUGGACUGACUGAGAUGAGAAAAGCUGGUAUGAACUCAACCUGUCUUGUUUUUGUAAAUAUGAUUAGUUCAUCGUUCCUGAUUCAGCCUAUUAUGAAUAAACAUGUUUGCAAUGACAACUAGAGAUCAUAGUUUCUUGUGCCAUGCUUGAUUAGCUAGGAGCUUAUAAUGGUUUACCUUGCGUGCCAACAUGCUAUUAAAAUGGUUGUGAUGUGGUAUGAUAGGGUGGUAUCCUCCUCUGAACGAUUCGAGUGGCUUGACUUGGCACAUAUUCACGCAUGUAGUUGAAACAAAAUCAACAUAGCCUCUACGAUAUUUAUGUUCAUGGUGAAUUAUAUCCUACUCAUGCUUGCAUUCGGUGCUGAUUAAUUUUAAUGCAUGUUUAUGACUGUUGUCGCUCUCUAGCUGGUCGCUUCCCAGUCUUUUGCUAGCCUUCACCUAUACUAAGCGGGAAUACUACUUGUGCAUCCAAUCCCAUAAACCCCAAAGUUAUUCCAUAUGAGUCCACCAUACCUACCUAUUUACGGUAUCUACCUGCCGUUGCAAGUAAAUUUGUAUGUGCCAAACUCUAAACCUUCAAAUAAAUAUCAUGUUUUGUAUGCUCGAAUAGCUCAUGUAUCAACUAGGUUUGUCUGUAUCUUUCAUGUUAGGCGGGUUAUUCUCAAGAGGAGUGGACUCCGCUCCUCACUCGCGAGAAAAUGGCUGGUCACCCGGAUGCCUAGUCCCAUGCUUUAUGCAAAUCAAAUCAAAAUAAUUGCAAACAAAAUUGCCCCUGGGACUCUUGUUAGUUGGAGGCACUCGUUGUUUCGAGCAAGCCAUGGAUUGAUGCUUGUUGGUGGAGGGGGGGUAUAAAAUUUUCCAUUCUGUUUGGGAACCGCCUAUAAUGUGUGUAGCAUGGAAGAUAUCACCAUCUCUUGGUUGUUAUGUUGACAAUGAAAGUAUACCGCUCAAAAUAUUAUUUACCUCUAUUUCAAAAUCGAGCUCUGGCACCUCUACAAAUCCCUGCUUCCCUCUGCGAAGGGCCUAUCUAUUUACUUUUAUGUUGAGUCAUCAUCCUCUUAUUAAAAUGCACCAGUUGGAGAGCACCGUUGUCAUUUGCAUUCAUUACUAUUAUUUUACAUUGAAUAUGACUUGACUGGAUCUCUUUUACCAUGAAUUACAAUGUCUAGUCAGUCCUUGAUCUUUAAAGGUGCUCUACAUUUAUGUUUUGCGGUCUCAGAAAGGGCUAGCGAGAUACCAUCUUGUUAUAUCAUAUCAUGAUUGUUUUGAGAAAGUGUUGUCAUCCGAGAUUUAUUGUUAUUGCUCGCUAGUUGAUUAUGCCAUUGAUAUGAGUAAACAUGAUACAUAAAUGUUAUUGGAAUAUGGUUAGUUCAUAAUCUUUGCUGAAAACUUGAAUGCUGGCUCUACAUAUUUACAACAACAAGAGCAAACAGAGUUUGUAAAAGUUUUUCUUUAUCACUUUCAGUUUAUCAACUGAAUUGCUUGAGGACAAGCAAAGGUUUAAGCUUGAGGGAGUUGAUACGUCUCCGUCGUAUCUACUUUUCCAAACACUUUUGCCCUUGUUUUGGACUCUAACUUGCAUGAUUUGAAUGGAACUAACCCGGACUGACGUUGUUUUCAGCAGAAUUGCCAUGGUGUUAUUUUUGUGCAGAAAUAAAAGUUCUCGGAAUGACCUAAAAAUCAAAGGAGAAUUAUUUUGAAAUAUAUAAAAAAUAUUGGAAGGAAGAUCCACGUCAGGGGGGCCUCCACCUGUCCACGAGGGUGGAGAGCGUGCCCUACCCCCCUGGUGCUACCUCUUGAGCACUGCGUUGGUUUUCCCUUGAAGAGGAAAGGGUGAUGCAGUAAAGUAGUGUAAGUAUUUCCCUCAGUUUUUGAGAACCAAGGUAUCAAUCAAGUAGGAGAUCACGCUCGAGUCCCGCGCACCUACACAAACAAAUAAGAACCUCGCAACCAAUGCAAUAAAGGGGUUGUCAAUCCCUUCACGGUCACUUACGAGAGUGAGAUGUGAUAGAUAGGAUAAGAUAAUAUUUUUGGUAUUUUUAUGAUAAAGAGAAAUAAAGAUGCAAAGUAAAAUAAACAGCAAUAGAAAUAACUAAGUAUCACCUGGGCGCACCCCCCUGCCUCGUGGACCCCCUGACGCUCCACCGACCUCAACCCUGACUCCAUAUAUUCACUUUCGGGGAGAAAAAAACCAGAGAGAAAGAUUCAUCAUGUUUUACGAUAUGGAGCCGCCGCCAAGCCCUAAACUCUCUCGGGAGGGCUGAUCUGGAGUCUGUUCGGGGCUCCGGAGAGGGGAAUCCGUCGCCAUCGUCAUCAUCAACCUUCCUCCAUCACCAAUUUCAUGAUGCUCACCGCCGUGCGUGAGUAAUUCCAUCGUAGGCUUGCUGGACGGUGAUGGGUUGGAUGAGAUUUAUCAUGUAAUCAAGUUAGUUUUGUUAGGGUUUGAUCCCUAGUAUCCACUAUGUUCUGAGAUUGAUGUUGCUAUGACUUUGCUAUGCUUAAUGCUUGUCACUAGGGCCCGAGUGCCAUGAUUUCAGAUCUGAACCUAUUAUGUUUUCAUCAAUAUAUGAGUGUUCUUGAUCCUAUCUUGCAAGUCUAUAGUCACCUACUAUGUGUUAUGAUCCGGCAACCCCGAAGUGACAAUAAUCGGGACCACUCCUGGUGAUGAUCGUAGUUUGAGGAGUUCAUGUAUUCACUAUGUGUUAAUGCUUUGGUCUGGUACUCUAUUAAAAGGAGGCCUUAAUAUCCCUUAGUUUCCGCUAGGACCCUGCUGCCACGGGAGGGUAGGACAAAAGAUGUCAUGCAAGUUCUUUUCCAUAAGCACGUAUGACUAUAUUCGGAAUACAUGCCUACAUUACAUUGAUGAAUUGGAGCUAUUUCUGUGUCACCCUAGAUUAUGACUGUUACAUGAUGAACCGCAUCCGACAUAAUUCUCUAUCACCAAUCCAUUGCCUACGAGCUUUCCAUAUAUUGUUCUUUGCUUAUUUACUUUUCCGUUGCUAUUGCUAUCAUCACUAUAAAACAACAAAAACAUUACUUUUGCUAUCGUUACCUUUUGCUACCGUUACCACUACUAUCAUAUUACUUUGCUACUAAACACUUUGCUGGAGAUAUUAAGUUUCCUGGUGUGGUUGAAUUGACAACUCAGCUGCUAAUACUUGAGAGUAUUCUUUGGCUCCCCUUGUGUCGAAUCAAUAAAUUUGGGUUCAAUACUCUACCCUCGAAAACUGUUGCGAUCCCCUAUACUUGUGGGUUAUCAUUGCUCCUGCAGCGGGUCUUGCACCUAGCGGUGCUUCUAGGACGUAAUUCUUCUGUGUAGCAAUGAGGAUAAUUCUCAAGUUAUGGACCCAGUCCGUGUAGUUGCUACCAUCAUCUUUCAACUUAGCUUUCUCUACGAACGCAUUAAAAUUCAAAGGAACAGUAGCAGGGGCCAUUGAUCUACAAUAACAUAGACAUGCAAAAUACUAUUAGGUGCUAAGUUCAUGAUAAAUUAAAGUUCAAUUAAUCAUAUUACUUAAGAACUCCCACUUAGAUAGACAUCCCUCUAGUCAUCCAAAUGAUCACGUGAUCCAUAUCAACUAAACCAUGUCUGAUCAUCACGUGAGAUGGAGUAGUUUCAAUGGUGAACAUCACUAUGUUGAUCAUAUCUACUAUAUGAUUCACGCUCGACCUUUCGGUCUCAGUGUUCCGAGGCCAUAUCUGCAUAUGCUAGGCUCGUCAAGUUUAACCCGAGUAUUCUGCGUGUGCAAAACUGGCUUGCACCCGUUGUAUGUGAACGUAGAGCUUAUCACACCCGGUUAUCACGUGGUGUCUCGGCACGAUGAACUAUAGCAAUGGUGCAUACUCAGAGAGAACACUUGUACCUUGAAAUUUAGUGAGAGAUCAUCUUAUAAUGCUACCGCCGUACUAAGCAAAAUAAGAUGCAUAAAGGAUAAACAUCACAUGCAAUCAAAAUAAGUGAUAUGAUAUGGCCAUCAUCAUCUUGUGCCUUUGAUCUCCAUCUCCAAAGAACCGUUAUGAUCACCAUCAUCACCGGCUUGACACCUUGAUCUCCAUCGUAGCAUCGUUGUCAUCUCGCCAACUAUUGCUUCUACGACUACCGCUACCGCUUAGUGAUAAAGUAAAGCAAAAACAAGUGUGAUGUCCUCUACUUUGUUGUUGCAAGUUUUACGUGGCUGCUACGGGCUUCUAGCAAGAACCGUUCUUAUCUACGCCUCAAAACCACAACAAUUUUUCGUCAAGUGUGUUGUUUUAACCUUCAACAAGGAUCGGGCGUAGUCAAACUCGAUUCAACUAAAGUUGGAGAAAUAGACACCCACUAGCCACCCGUGUGUGAAGCACCUCGGUAGAACCAGUCUCAUGAACGCGGUCAUGUAAUGUCGGUCUGAGCCACUUCAUCCAACAAUACCGCCAAAUCAAAGUAAGACGUUGCUGGUAAGAAGUAUGACUAUUAUCGUCCACAACUCAUUGUGUUCUACUCAUGCAUAUAACAUCUACGCAUAGACCUGGCCCGGAUGUCACUGUUGGGAAACGUAUUAUUUCAAAAAAAAAUCCUACAAUCACGCAAGAUAUAUCUAGGAGAAGCAUAGCAAUGAGCGGGGAGAGUGUGUCCACGUACCCUCGUAGACCGAAAGCGGAAGCAUUUAGUAACACGGUUGAUGUAGUCGAACGUCUUUGCGAUCCAACCAAUCCAAACACCUAACGUACGGCACCUCCGCAUUCAGCACACGUUCAGCUCGAUGACAUCCCUCGAGCUCUUGAUCUAGUUGAGGCCGAGGGAUAGUUCCGUCAUCGCGAUGGCGUGGCGACGGUGAUGAUGAAGUUACCGGCGCAGGGCUUCGCCUAAGCACUACGACGAUAUGACCGAGGUGUGUAACUGUGGAGGGGGGCACCGCACACGGCUAAGAGAAACUUGUGUCUUUGGGGUGCCCCCUCCCACGUAUAUAAAUGGAGGGAGGAGGCCGGCCCAAGGGGGGGCGCCACAUGUGGGGAGUCCUACUAGGACUCCCUUGUCCUAGUAGGAUUCCCCUCUCCUUUCCUUUUACGGAGGGGGAAAGGGGGGAAGGAGAGGAGGGGAAGAGGGAAAGGGGGGCACGCCCCCUCCCCUUCCUAUUCGGACUCCACUUGGGGGGGACGCGCACGCCUCCCCCUUGUGGGUUGUCCCCUCUUCUCUCCCAUGGCCCAUAAGGCCCAUGAUUUCCCCCAGGGGGUUCCCGUAACCUCCCGGUACUCCGAAAAAAUUCCCGAAUCACUCGGAAUCAUUCCGAUGUUCAAAUGCAACCUUACAAUAUAUGAAUCUUUACCUCUCAACCAUUUUCGUGAUCUCAUCUGGGACUCCGAACAAACUUCAGUCAUCAAAUCACAUAACUCAUAAUACAAAUUGGCAUCGAACGUUAAGUGUGUGGACCCUACGGGUUUGAGAACUAUGUAGACAUGACCGAGACACAUCUCCGGUCAAUAACCAAUAGCGGAACCUAGAUGCUCAUAUUGGCUCCUACAUAUCUACGAAGAUCUUUAUCGGUCAAACCGCAUAACAACAUACGUUGUUCCCUUUGUCAUAUGUAUGUUAUUUGCCCGAGAUUCGCUCGUCGGUAUCCUCAUACCUAGUUCUAUCUCGUUACCGGCAAGUCUCUUUACUUGUUCCAUAAUGCAUCAUCUGGUAACUAACUCAUUAGUCACAUUGCUUGCAAGGCUUAUAGUGAUGUGCAUUACCGAGAGGGCCCAUAUAUACCUCUCUGAUACACGGAGUGACAAAUCCUAAUCUCGAUCUAUGCCAACUCAAGAAACACCAUCGGAGACACCUGUAGAGCAUCUUUAUAAUCACCCAGUUACGUUGUGAUGUUUGAUAGCACACUAAGUGUUCCUCCGGUAUUCGGGAAUUGCAUAAUCUCAUAGUCAUAGGAACAUGUAUAAGUCAUGAAGAAAGCAAUAGCAAUAAAAUUAAACGAUCAUUGUGCUAAGAUAACGGAUGGGUCUUGUCCAUCACAUCAUUCUCUAAUGAUGUGAUCCCGUUCAUCAAAUUACAACACAUGUCUAUGGUUAGGAAACUUAACCAUCUUUGAUUAACGAGCUAGUCUAGUAGAGGCAUACUAGGGACACUCUGUUUGUCUAUGUAUUCACACAUGUACUAAGUUUCCGGUUAAUACAAUUUUAGCAUGAAUAAUAAAGAUUUAUCAUGAUAUAAGGAAAUAUAAAUAACAACUUUAUUAUUGCCUCUAGGGCAUAUUUCCUUCAGGAAGAGCAUUGCGGGUGGGAGGGAGAAGGGGAAUUAAGAGAGUGUAGGUUUCGGUUUGGGCCUCCGCGCGCUAUGUGUACACAUGUGUUGGUGGGUCAAUAGUAGUGGCGCCAGGUUUAUACCCCACACUACUACUAUGGCCUAUCCCGGGGGUACGAUAGAGACCACUUAGUAGUAGCGAGGGAUUUAUACCCCUCGGUACUACUAUCAACUUAGUACUAGUGAGGGAUUUAUACCCCUUGCUACUACUAUCAACUUAGUAGUAGUGAGGGAUUUAUACCCCUCGAUACUACUAUGGCCAGUCCCGGGGGGCACGGUGGAGACCACUUAGUAGUAGUGUGGGGUUUAUACCGCUCGCUACUACUAUCAACUUAGUAGUAGCGUGGGUUCUAUACCCCUCUCUACUAAUAAUUAGCAGCAGUGUGGCCCAUAUACCCCUUGCUACUGUUAAGCAUCUAUCUAUAAAUUAUUUUCUAGUAGUGCAUCAAUGGCGGCGAAAUCAGUCAUUCUGCUUGUUUUCCCUACUAGCUCUCUGACGUCCAGAACAAGUUUACGGUCAUAAGGUGCAAUGCCCUUGCCUUCAUGAGUGACACGAUGACACGGGAACGGGCUUCCAAGCCUAUGGUGUCGCAUCGUGUCGUGGUCUGCUAAACUUAGUGGACGGAUGCUACUCCAAUAUCGGUUGAUCCUAUACUACGGUACCAAGGAAGACACGCAACUACUAUAUAUAUUUCUUCAAGUCAGUCAACACAAGUAAACUCUGGGAGUUCAACUGGUGCAGCUAUGCAAUGCUAAUGGAGACAACACAAUUCAACUUUAGCACUUCACACAUAAGAAAAACCACGUUCAAUGGCACACACCUUAGAGUGUACCUAUGGUGGUUGAAUGGGCUAUAAGAAAUGUGAGUCCAUGUGAAGAUGCCAAACAUAAUAACACGGCUAAUUACACAUGCAGUGGCAGCAGCAACAAGUGCGUGAAUUCAACAAAUGAUCUAGGGUACACAUGCAACGGUGUCCUUGAGUAUGACAACAACCCUUAUCUUCUAGACAAAUGCAUGGUAUGCUACUAAUUUAUUUGCUACAAAUUCCAAUGAAUUGUGUCCUUUGCUUUGUACAUACCCAAUUAUAAUAUUUUAUUAUGCUAAUACAAUGUAGCCUUCAAUUUAAACCAAGGUUUGCAUCCAUUAAUUAUGUUAGGUUCAUAUGACUUCACUACAUAAAUAGGUAGAUAAUGCAUAAGACUGAGAUUGUAGCUAGGGAUGAAAAUCUAAAUACGGCAUGAAUCUAACAAUUAUGAGUAAUGUCUUUGUGACAAGAACUUUCUUUGUCUUUUAUUCCCAUGUUUGAACUAGUAUAGGUCAGGGUUACACAUUAUGGUGCACAUCACUUUAUUUGUCACCGUUACAUUGAACACCCAUUGACUAAACAACGAUAAUCCAUCCGUCUUGUAUUACAGGUCUUCAUUUCAUUGGCCACCGAUGCUUGUAAGACUACUCCCAGAUGGUUGUUGUUGUGGAUAUGGUUGUUGAGGUUGGUGUGGUUGCUGGGGGAAUGGUUGUUGGGGUUGCUGGGAAAUUGUUUGUUCUAGUUGCUGGGAUAAUUGUUGUUGGGGCUGCAAAAAUGGUUGUUGUGGUUGCAGGAUGGAUGGUUGCUGGGGUUGGGGCUGGGGAAAUGAUUGUUGUGAUUGUUGGGGUUGCUGGGAAAAUGGUUGUUGCGGUUGAAGGGGGAAUGGUUGUUGUGGUUAUAGAGGGAAAGGUUGUUGUGGUUGUUGAGGGAAUGGUUGUUGUGGUUGUUGNNNNNNNNNNNNNNNNNNNNNNNNNNNNNNNNNNNNNNNNNNNNNNNNNNNNNNNNNNNNNNNNNNNNNNNNNNNNNNNNNNNNNNNNNNNNNNNNNNNNNNNNNNNNNNNNNNNNNNNNNNNNNNNNNNNNNNNNNNNNNNNNNNNNNNNNNNNNNNNNNNNNNNNNNNNNNNNNNNNNNNNNNNNNNNNNNNNNNNNNNNNNNNNNNNNNNNNNNNNNNNNNNNNNNNNNNNNNNNNNNNNNNNNNNNNNNNNNNNNNNNNNNNNNNNNNNNNNNNNNNNNNNNNNNNNNNNNNNNNNNNNNNNNNNNNNNNNNNNNNNNNNNNNNNNNNNNNNNNNNNNNNNNNNNNNNNGAAUGGUUGGUGGGGAAUUAUUUGUUCUGGUUGCUGGGGAAUUAUUUGUUCUGGUUGCUGGGGGAAUGGUAGUUGGGGUUGGGGAAAUGGUUGUUGGGGUUGCUGGGGGAAUGGCUGUUGUGGUUGCAGAGGGAACGAUUGUUGGGUCUGGGGAAAUGGUUGUUGUGGUUGCCAGGAAAAUGGUUGUUGGGGCUGUGGAAAAGGUUGUUGUGGUUGUUGGGGUUGCUGGGGGAAUGGUUGUUGUGGUUGUAAGGGGGUCGGUUGUUGGGGUUGGGGAUAUAAUUGUUGUGAUUGCUGGAGAAAUUGUUGUUGGGGUGUGGAAAAUGGUUGUUGUGAUGGAUAUGGUUGCUAUGAUGGAUAUGGUUGUUGUGGAUAUGGCUGUUGUGGAAAUGGUUGUUGUUGAUGGGAAAAUGAUUGUUGAGGUGAUUGUAACUCUUUGUUGCUAGGGUUUAGCUGCCUAGCGGCAAUGGCGGUGUUCAUCGCCAUGGCAAGGAGGACAAAGAUGAGGAAGGUCUUCAUGUUGGAUUUGUGGUUACUACUGCUUGCUUGCCUUUGAUGCUUGUGGUCUAGGUGUGUGAAGUUUGGUUGAUGGAAGGUGUCCUUGGUGGUGCAUGUGUAUUUAUAGUUUUCAUGGCAUGGCUUGCUUUCAUCUUUGCACUCGCUCUUUGAAAAAGUGCAUCAAUGCUUAUCCAACUAAUCAUUUGGUUUGUUGUGUUUGGUGCAACUACUUACU